UUAGUUCCUCCUAGUCUCUAUCUUUUCUGUCUCCCCUGCGUCCUGUGUGGUCUCCUGGAAUGCUUUGUUGCUGUGAAAGAUGGAGCUCUGGAGCUGCUGCAAGAAUACAACGGUCUGGACUCACCUUUAAAAAGUCCAAGUGGUUAGAACUUAUUGGUUCUUCAAAAUUUGUUGUUUUUACUACAACAACAUUACACAUACUGUAAAUAUCACUUAAAGAUAUUGUCCCCCUUACUAGUUUGUCAUCAACAUCACCAUCCUUUGCAUCAUCCAUUCCAUUUUGUUGCUUCUAUUUUAGCUCUUCAAUAAAGCAUUUUCCCAGUUCUAUAUAGUACCUUCUACAACUUUUAUAUCUCUAGCAAUCACCACCUUGUUAAAUUUCAAAUCAUAGAUUCUAUAGGCCUUAAAUUGACUGUUAUAACCUAUAAGAAUUCCUACAUUUGCCUUGUGAUCAAGUUUACGCCUUUUAAUUUUAGGUUUCAAAACAUAACAAGGGGCUGCCAAAAACUUUUAAAUGAUGAGUAUUGGGUUUAAAACCAUACCAUUUCUCAUAGAAAGUCUUAUCUUUCAAAGCUCUUGUGGCCAUUCAAUUGAGAAGGUAAAAUGCUAUGUUUGCUGCCUAACCUAGAAUUUUAAUGAUAUUGUCUUCUCGUAUAGCAAACAUUCCAUCACUGUUCUGUUUCUCCUCUUAUUGACCCUAUUUUAUUGUGGAGUAUAGGUCAUUGUUAGCUAAUGUGUGAGCUCUUCUUUCACCAAUUUUCCCUCAAACUAUCUAGAGGAGAGCGUGUUUGGGAGUGUGGUAGUAAUUGCUUUUCAAAGUAUUUUUCAUUCCAAAACACAUUAAAAUAAUGUUUUUUAUUUUUUAAAAAUUAUUUUUAAUAUCAGCAUAUCAAAAUGAUCUGAAAACACCAAAAAUAUAUUAAUUUGAAAAAAAAAAUUUAAAUUUUUUCAAAAACGCUUCCGAAACGUAAUGCCAAACAAUGUCCCAGCCCCAUUGUCAGACCUUAACAUUUUUAGUUUGUUUCUUAUUUCUACCUCAACUAUUAUCUUAAACUUCACAAACUCAGCAAAUACAUCAACCUUGAAUUUUAAAAAAUAAACCUUAUAAUACUUGCUCUAAUUAUCAAUAAAUAGUAAAAAAUAAUUUUAACCAUUCAAAGAUUCAUUUUGCAAAGGACCACACACAUGUAUGUGCAUUAACGGGAGUGUUAGUGAAGCUCUAAAGCUUUUAUCAGGAAAAACACUUCUAAUCUACUUUUCUAAGUGACAGGUCUCACAAAUGUCAUUUAUUCUUGUAUUUUUAGCAUACCAAAGGCCAUCUGCAAAUCAACUAUCUUUUUCAAGGUUCCAUAAUUAAAAUACCAUAACCUUUUGUGCUAUAGAACAUUAUCAUUUUCAACAAUAGUGUUAGCACGCAAAAAAACUUAUUUCUAAUCAACAUUAAAACUCUUAUCCAUAAUUUUAAUAGUGAGCAAUAAUAACCCUUUUAUUGUCUUUAAUGUCACACACUCCAUCAUUAAAAAAAACAAUGAGUAACCAGGUUCAAUUAGUUGUCCUAUACUGAUAAAGUUUCUACUUUAACAGUUCCUUUUCCCUAAGCCUUCAAAUAGUUUUCAUUAUCAAUUUUGACUCUAGACAUUAUUUUAAUACUGGUGUCUGUGCUGAAAAGCUUGAAGAUUCCAUUUUCAAACCCCACUAAUCUCGUGUUUCAAUCAUAACUCUUCAAAGAUCAAGGUGGGCUCUUCAAAUGGUAUUUAGAGAAAUUAGCUUAAUCAAAGAACAAAGGGCAUAACAAGAACUUCUAGGUUACUGUCAUCCCUUAAAUUUAUUUAUAGACAAAAUCAAAGAUUACAAGAUCUUUAUCAUAAAGAAAAGGAAUCAUAACAGCCAUAAUUCCCUUCAUCUAAGGGAUUACAUAACUACAUAGGCUUAUUCUAAGCUAAACAAAUAUCUAGCUAAACUCAAGUCUAAAAAACAGAACAUAAAGAAAAUACCAUAACAUAUAUAUAAAUAUGGCUAAAAACUAGCUGAUAACAACCUGUGCCUCCAUUUCAACAAUUUUCUCCCUUGCUGUUGGCUCCGAUCCUAACCCUAUGUAUAUGAAUUUGGAAAAUAAUCAUGUCCAUUUAAACUCUGAUUCAGAUGAAGCUUCACCACAUUCUGCUUCAGACAUCUACUGGUGGAUUGUCACAGACACAUCAAGUUAAUGAAGAGCAAUGCUCCUAUUCGAUUGAUUUGGAAUUGAAAGUGCAUGAAGAAGACAUCGGGAAAGAUUUGUUGCACAGAGAAUCUGAUGAUGGCCUUCUUAACUACUUGGAUGAGGAAAAAUAUGAUUUGGUUUGUGAGGGUGGUAUUAUUUACACUUGGCUAAGGAUGAUCCCAAAGUCUUCGAUGUGGUUAAGACUGUUGAAGAUGGUAGCUGGACAAUAUUGAAGAUGGUAGCUGGACACUGAAUCACAAAUCAAAUUGGUCUGCUUCAUACAAAAAAAUAAUACAGAUUCAUAGUUGUACACUGAGUGCUAAAUUAUUUUAGGUUUAAAAAAGCCUUCAAUAUGACAACAAAUCUAAAAAAAAUUCAACUCAACCCAUCAUUAUUUUCACUCUUAAUUUCUUUUCAAAAACACACUAGUGUUUGAUGAGCUCCUAUCAUCAUCAGUUCCUUCCUCUUCAUGCAGCAUUCGUAGACCAACCCUCUUUAUUUGAACAACCGGAUCAUCUGUAAACACUGAAACACUGAAUUUAUCACCGUUAUCAAACGCAGGAUCAUUGGACCCAAAUUUCCAAUAGCUUAGCCAUAACAAUUCAGAUUUUUUGGCCGAAAACUCUAUCGGAAAAAUCGAGGGGUAAAAAACCCAGAAUCUACCCUUGGUAUUGUUCCUGAUUUCAAGAUAAACAUAGAGGCAGCAUAAUCCAACUCAUCCACUCUCGUUGUGCGCCUGCUCUGGCCGUAUCUCUAUCCUCUCGCAUCCAAAACUAGCAUCAACACCACCCACCAAUAAGAAAAAGGCACGUGGAGGAUCAUGACUCUGAAUCAGCUACUGGGUCGGCUACCGAGUGGUGUUUCGUUUUGAGCCAUUGAGUAUUGCUGUGGAGUGGAGGGACAUUGAAGCUGCACAAUGUUUGGUGUCUUACAAGUGCUGAUGGCAAGAGGUUUAUUGAGUGGGGGUUCUAUAAGAAUGGAGGUUCCAUGGUGUGAUAGUAAUACGAUUCUGUUGUCAAAAGAGUAUGUGAGGUUUCCCGUUGAGUUGGCUCAUCGGAAAAUUGGAAGAGAACUCGAGCGUUUUUUAGUUGUUUAAGAGAAAACAGCAAAGGGGUUUGUGGAGUUCACCGUCUUGGAAAAUGGUGAGCAGCAACAAGGUGACAAGUAAGAUAAGAUAUUUAAUAUAUUUUAUUAUAAAUACAAGAUUUUAUAAAUAAAAAUCAAUUAAUAAAAUAAUAACAUAUUACAACGGGAAAAAAAGUGAAAGCCAUUACAAAUAUUUAUAAAUAAAAGAUCUCAUGCUAUACAAAGAAAGAAGGAAGAUUACAAGAGAUUCAAAACUAUUUUCCUGAUAAGCUUUCCAAAAAAAAAGAAAAAACAAUUUCAAAAGCUUUUCACUUUUGUUGUUGAAUUUUAAUUCUAUCUUUUAAUUUGAUAAUUUUCAAUCAAAAUUAAUUUAAAUUUUUUUAAUUUUGAUGAUUAUUAUAUUUUAUUUUUAUAAAAAAAUAUCUAUAUUAAUUUAUUGUAAAAAUUUAAUAUAAUCAAAUUAAUUUUUAAAUAAAAUAAAAUAUAUUCAAAUUAUAGAAUCCUCUUAAUUAUAUUUUCAAGACAUAUCCACUUUUUUUAUUAUUACAAGUAGACUUGUCUGGAAAGGAUAUAUGUAGAAGCAAAAAAGAAUUACCAAUUAAAUUUUACCAUGUAUUAUUUUUUAUUUUAUUUUUAUAUAAAAAGAUGAAAUAAAACAGAUAAAAUAACAUAAAAAAUGAAUCAUUACAUAUAUUUUGGUAUUGACACAUAAAAUAAUAUAUUUCAUAUAUCUUAUUAUAAAUCCAAGAUUUUAUAAAUAAAAAUCAAUUAAUAAAAUAAUAUCAUAUUACAGGGAAAAAAGAAAGAAAGUGAAAGUCCUGACAAAUAUUUAUAAAUAAAAGAUCUCAUGCUUUCCAUUAUAAAGAAAGGAGGAAGAUACAAAACUAUUUUCAUGAUAAGCUUUUCAAGAAAAAAGAAAAAACAUUUCAAAAGCUUUCCAGCUUUUUUAAUGUUACGGUUGAAAUCUAAAAAAAGCAAAACCUCUACUUUGGUUAUAGACGUCUCUUUUCAAAAUACCACCCACCCCUAUUGUCAUCAUUGGGGUUAUAAUGGAAACCACAAUAAUAAUUUCUAAAAAUACUAGAAGCUAUUUCUACUUUGGCCGCGUGUGCAUCAUCGCUACUGUUGUGGGCAUUGAUAACUUCAUCCUUUGAUUGGAUAUCAUCAUCAUCCUUUCCUUCCUCUUCAUGCAACCAUUGUACACCAAUCGUCUUUACUUGAAUAAAUGGAUCAUGUGGAAGCACUGAAAUACUCACGUCAUCACCAUUAUCAAAGGUAGGAUGGAUUUCACGAGCACCACGCGCGUAAGCAAAAGGGUAGACAGAGGCUAGAUGACGCAAGGAUCGACCACUGGUAUUGUUUCUGAUUUCAAUAACAACUAGACUAGAGUAUCUGUAUGCUGACGCCACACAACUUGUGAAUAGAUUAAAGCCACAUAUCCGGUGUGCAGGAAGAGCUGGGGAUAUUUUGAAUGAAAAGUUAUCUCCAAACUCAUUCUGAAUUAGCCAUUUAUCCUCUUCUUCCUCCUCAUAAAACCUAAACUCCUCAUCAAAUGCAUAUACGUAGAGUUUUCCAUGAUCAAAUAUUAUCUGCACCACCAAAACAAUGUCUAUAAAAUGAGCAAAAGAAAAGUAUUCAAAUGUAGAUUUCAAAGACAAUAAAAUGGGCGAGGGAGGACCUGAAAUCUGGAUGGCUGUAUUUGAGCUCUAACCGUUUCCAUUAUUCUGAACACGUGAGAGUCAAACUUUUGGAUUAAUUCUUGCUUUAUCCGAUCUUGGAACUCGACAAAGUGAUCACAACCAAAUGCUAAAAUCGAACCGUGUCGAUUUGAAAGGCUUUGCAGUGAAUAGCAAUAGCACACAUCUAACAAAGCCAAAUGGGAUGGAAGCUCUGGGAGUGCCUGAAGCAUUUUGCAAUUUUUUAAGAAUAGGUAUCUGAGUAGACCAAGACCCUUGAUGCUUUCUGGAAGAGAACGAAUUGUUGUUCCAUUUAAAUUAAGUUUAUCCAAGAAGCGUGGCAGUGAAAACGAGGUAAAUCUCAACAUUUUCCUCGCUGAAAACCUAGAGGGAAAUAAUAGCUUCAAUGGAAGAGAUGUAAUGUAUGAUGCACUUGCAACAAUUCCAUCACUUUGAAGCAAGCUGCGCCCCUGAUGAUGCUCUAACUCCAUAUUCAGGAUGUCAAGAUUUGAGCAACCACCUAAAACCAGCUCUUGAAGUGAAUUCAAUCUACUCAUUUCUUCUGGAAGCUCCAUAAGACUUGUACAAUUUCUUAGAUUUAAGAUCAACAGUUUUUGUAAAUCACCAAUAGAAUCGUGAAUUUGAAUCAAACUGAUGCAGUCUUCAAGUAUUAGCUUUUCAAGGGCUAGGAGACCCGAGAAGUCAGGGGUUCUAAUGAGAUCACGAGAGUGACGGAGAUCAAGAACUUUCAAUUUUGGAAGAAACUGUGAAAUACAUGAAUUUAGUUGUUAUCAAUUGAAAACGGAGAGAUAGCUAUAGAAAGUGACUCAUGAUACAUACCAGUUUGCCUUUCCAAGCAUCAACUAGACAACUUCUGGAUAGAUCAAGAACCACCAGCUUCUCCAAGCAUACGUGAUUUGGUAUGGAUCUCCAAGACAAUCCAUGCCAACAUAACCAUAUCAAAUUCUUGGGAAAGUGCUCAAAACUUCCAUGAAAAUUAGUGUAGUUUAGUUGGAGAAAUUUUACAUCUGGCAUCUUUCUAAAAGCAUCGUGCUGAGGAUGGAAACAAACUUUUUUGUAAUUUUCCCCAUCGGAAAAAUCAGAAAGCCAUUGUUGAAAGAAGUUAAGCCUGCGGCGCUUGCGCAACCAUUGAAUCAGUACAGCAACUUCUGCAUAAUUAUCUUCCAUUAAUGCAUGCAUAUCAAUGGUAAGGCCACGCAAUUUUUCAGCAUCCUGCAUAAUAAUAUUAAAAGUACAUGAGAAAGGAAAGUAAAUGAAAGAAUAUGUUAAGGCACCACAAACCAUUUAAGUAGACAUAAAAAAAUUGAGCUACUUACAGUAGUUCCUUUCAAAACUGUAAAAGCAUCCUCGUGACGCCAUAUUCUUUGACAUUUGGGAUUCUUGACGAGCAAUUUCCCUUCCCAUAUCUCUUACUAGUUGAUGCAUCCACAACCUUUGAUCAAUUGUUGAUUUCAACAAGACAUCUAUCGAUGAGAUUGUCAAUCCCAAAUCUUGCACCUUUAUCGAGCCCAUCCAGUAUCCUAACUGCAUCAUCCACAUCCAUUCCAUUAAAGAAACAUGCGAUAUCAAGGAAUAAGUUCUUCAGACAAUCACCAUCAAGAAAGUCGUAACUUAUUCGAAGAACCUUUUGAACUUCAAAAUUAGGAAUCACUUCCAUUUGUUGUAAUGCACUUUCCCAUAUUUCUCUUCCUUUUCCGGACAAUGAAGAGCCAAUAACUCGAAGAGCUAAUGGAAGUCCACUACAAUGAUGUACUAUUCUCCAAGAGUCUUCUACAAAACCAUCAGCAGGGUCAGCUUGUCCAAAGGCAUUCCAACUGAAAAGCUCAAGUGAUUUUUCAUCAUCUAGCGGUUCAAACUUUGCACCGGACCCCCUCAAUAUCAUUAGCUGAAAACAGACCCUUAUUUCUUGUUGUUACAAUGAUUUUACUUCCUUUACAAAGCCAAUUUUGCACGCCGAUGAUUUUAUUGAAUUGGUCCCUUUUGUCCACAUCAUCUAGAACAAUAAGAGUUCUUUUGCAACAUAAUGCAUCCUUAAUCUUCAGAAUUCCUUCAUCUUCAUCAUUUAUCUCAUCAACAGUCUUUUUUAGGAUGUCGGAAAGAAGUUGCCUUUGCAGGCAAACUAUAUCCUUUGAUCUAAAAUUUGAUAGGAAGCUCUUUCCUUCAAAUUUAUGAAUAUUCUGAUUAAAAACACUCUUUGCUAUGGUUGUCUUCCCAACUCCACCAUUUCCAUAGAGUAUAGCAAUGGCAGCAUCAUGGGACCCAUCUUGCAACCAUGAGUUGAUAUAAUUUACUAGAGGAUCUCUUCCAAUGAAAUGAAGGGGUACAUGAAACAUUUUUUUAUCCAAUUUCUUUGAGACCUUCUCCACAAUAGAUUGGACAAACUGUGCCUCGUACCUACAUCAAAAAGUAAAAUACAAUGUGUGAUAAUUAGUAGGCUCUCUAUAAGCAAUAGAAAUAAACAACAUUUAGCUAAGAAAUUAAAGCAGGUUGUGUGUCAAUGAUUUGAUGGUUAAAACCAAAUCGUGAUUGAAAAAAAAAAACAAAGAAGAAAUCAUAAGUAUUUUAUUUUAUUUUUCUUAUAUGUUUUCUUAUCAAUACACUUAACUGAAAGAAAUUUAGAGUUCACUACCAGCAUUAUAGUCUUAUGCUAUGUGUAGUUUCAUCAAGAGAUACAACUUACCCAUCUCCUAAAUCCAUUCCAGCUAAAUCUGCAACUUCCUUCAAAGCAAUCCUCCACCCAUUCACCCGCUCCAUCUUCUCCUUGUAAUGCUUUUCAUGUUCCACAAAUGCAGCAGCAAAGCUCCCUGUUUGAUUUCUGACUUCAGAUGGAUCCACAUCAUAGAAUACUGGCAAAACUAUACAGUCAUCAUUCCUCUUACGUUCCAUGAUCAUUACAAGUUCAUCAAGGCACCAUCUUGACGAAGCAUAGUCUUUGGAGAACACGAUUAUCGAUAUUUUCGAUUGUUGUAUUGCCUUCUGGAGCUCGAAACAUAUGUUCUCUCCUCUCUGAAUUUCAUCAUCAUCUCUAAAUGUGUGAAUCCCUGCAUCAACCAGGGCCUUGUAGAGGUGAUCGGUAAAGUUCUUGCAGGUGUCUUCACCUCUAAAACUCAAGAACACUUGAUAUUUCCCGGGAGCCAUUCCAAUUCUAGCAAAUAUAAGACUUUUCAAAGAUCUGAACAAAAAAAAAGGAGUUGCAGGAUUAAUGUCGAUAGUUCAAGAUCGACCGCACACCAAUAAGCUGAAGUAUUCAUAUAUUAUUAUCUUACUUUUUCUAUAAAACAAUUUUCAAGAUUUCCCAGCAAUCAACUCCUCCAUGCCCUCUCAGAAAAAUAUUUGUACUUAUGAUAAAUUAAAUCUCUAUGCUGAACCAGCAAAAUCGGUUGAUGAGUUACAUUCCACAAUAUAACAUAAUACCAAAAGAGAUGAGCAGAGUUACCUGCAAUCAUCACUUUCCCUUCGCUGAUGUUCUCUUAUCAGUUCAUCAAUUUUCUGCUUUUAAAUCAACCUUAAAAGUCUCUGUGGUAUGGGCCAUUUCUGCGUUAGGACCUUUUUUGUUUUUUUAAUUUGCUCAAAAUUGAGAGAGAAAGGUUGGAUUGUAAUUUUAAGACAAGUCAUCCCCACAAAUCCACUCUCUCUAUGGUAUGGAAUGUUUCCGAGUGAGGACUUUUUUGGUUUUAUUUUGAUCAAGACUUGGAUGUUGAAUAUAAUCACUAAUCUAUUUGAUUAUACAAAUGCACACUGAAUUUUCCAUGGCUAAUGGCGGAAGCAGAAAGUCGGAAUGUCUAGGCAUGACCAGUUAUGCAUGGAAAAUUUUGGUACCAGGAAUUGAUGGCUAUUGACAUGGUGAAGUAAGAAAAAAGUUAGAAAAUAAACUCCACAAGUUGAUGGCUAUAAACAUCAUUUCUGUUUCUCUUUUUUCUCAUAUCUUUUGCUUCGUGGUUGGUAUCACUGUAUUCCUUUAACAAUAUCUUUUGCUCUGAGUAGACGAAGAUCCUUUAUCUUAAAAAAAACAGAGUUGCAGGAUUGAUGUCGAGAGUUCAACAUCGACAGCACACCAAUAAGCUAAAGUAUUCAUAUAUUAUUAUCUUACUUUAUCUUUAAAACAGUUUUCAAGUUAUUUCCCAGCAAUCAAAUCCUCCAUGCCCUUUCAGAAAAAGAUUAUGAUAAAUUUCUAUGCUGAACCAACAAAAUCGGUUGAUGAGAUCAUCAAUAAUUAGUUUCUGACAGUGAAUUAAUCGAAGUGAUUCUCAGUUACAGCAGAGAUAUAUUCCACAAUAUAACAUAAUACUAAAAGAGAUAAGAGAGAGAGAGUACCUGCAAUCUUCACUUUCCCUUCGCUGAUGUUCUCUUAUCAGUUCAUCAAUUUUCUGCUUUUAAGUCAACCUUACAAGUCUCUGUGGACCUUUUUCUCUUUUAAUUUGCACAAAUCAUUUAUCACACGUUUACUAGGGCCUGUAAUUCUUGUUAUAAUUACCAAAAGGGACAUUAGACACACACACAACACAUAAUCCCUCUCAUCAACUCACACGGUUCUUCUUACUUCACCCACCAGUAAGAAAAAGGCACGUGCAGGAUCAAGGCUCUUCAUAUCUGACGUGGAGAGUUUACUAGCCUGUAAUUUUGCAUCAUUUGAAUUGAUUCUAGCUUUUUCUUUCUGUUGAAAGUCAAGUGUAUAUAUAUGAAGAAUUAGUCAGAAAAACAAAGCAAUUGGUUAAAUAGGGAUGGUAGGAGGGGAAGUUGCUGAUUACAUUUUAUCUGUUUCUCUGGACAACAUUUCUGCUGGUGUCUUUAGAAGACAAACUUAUGCCAAGAAAGAGAGAGAGAGUUUCUCAUGUUGGAAAUGCAGAGUGUUUAACUCAGAGUCCUGUCUUGAACUCUAAGGCUGAGUGUACAACAACUUCAAAAGAAGUAUGUAAAACUGGGGAAAGACAUUCUGAAGAAUUUUGGAUGGUUAGAUCUCGGGAGGAAGGUUUAUCCUUGGGAGGGUGGAUUAUCAAAAUCACAAAAAAAAUUUCUAAUAAUAAGAGAAGCUAUUUCUGCUUUUGAUACAGGUACAUUAUCAUUGUGUUAACUUCACUGUUUGAUGAGCUGCUAUUAUCAUCAGUUCCUUCCUCUUCAUGCAGCAUUCGCAUAACAACUGGAUCAUCUGUAAACAUUGAAAAACUGAAUUCAUCACCAUUAUCAAAUGCAGGAUCAUUGCCCCCAAAUUUCCAAUAGCUUAGCCAUAACAAUUCAGAUUUUUCGGCCAAAAAUUAUAUCGAAAAAUUGAGGGGUAAAAAACCCAGACUCUACCCUUCGUAUUGUUUCUGAUUUCAAGAUAAACAAGACGAUAAGGAUUGCAUACUGACAUAGCAGAAAACCAUGUGAAUAGAUCAAAGCCACAUAUCCGGUGCGCGGCGGGUGAGGAUAUUUUGAAUGACAAGUACUCUACAAAUUCUUUCUAAAGUAGCCACUCCUGUUCUUCCUCCUCGUGAAACCACCUUAACAUCUCAUUUUCAACAUAUUCAAGGACAACAUUGAAUCUGUUGCCCUAAAGUUCUAUCUGUUCCAUCAAAGCAAAAUUUAUAUAAUGAGCAAAGGAAAAAUUUUCUAGACAUACAAGAGCAAAAAAUUAGAAUUGAAAUAAAGCAGAACUUAUAAAAUGAGCAACGGAGAUCAAUAAUUUUAAAUUUUGGAAGAGACUGUGAAAACACUUGAAAUCAGUUGCUGUCCAUUGAAAAUAAGAGAGAUAGCUGUAUAGAGAGACUAGAUACAUAUCAGUUUGCCUUUCCAAGCAACAAUUAGACUGGUUCUGGAUUAGAUAAAGAACCACAAGCUUCUCCAAGCAGAAGUGCUUUGGUUUGGAUCUUGUAAUUACCCAACCUUUUUAUUUUAAUUUUUUAUUAUUCUUAUUAUUAUUUUCCUUGAAAAAUGAUGAUGAAAAACACAAAUAAAAAAAUGAAAUAAAUGAAGAAUAAAUUAAAAUUUGGAUUAACAGUAACAUGAGUAGAAGUUUUGGGAUUUAAUUAAACUUUGCAUUAGUUUUAUUAACCAAAUUAAUAAAGGAAAAAAACAAUCGAACAGAGGAGAGGGAGUGAAAGUAGGAAACACAGAAUCCCCAGAGAAGAACAGAGCAUAUACGGGGAAACUAAAAAAAAAAAAACAGAGGAAAACAAACACAGGCAAAGGUUGCACCGAGAGAAAGUCAAUCCUAAAUCUUGCACCUAUAUAUACCGAGCCCAUCAAGUGUCCUAACUGCAUGAUCUCUAUCCAUUCCAUUAAAUAAACAAGCUAUAUCAAGAAAUAAGUUCUUUUGAUAAUCAUCAUCAGGAGAGUUGGAACUUUUUGCAAGAACCUUUUGAACUUGACAAUUUGGAAUCACUUCCAUUUCAUGUAAUGCGAUUUCCCAUACUUUCCUACUUUUACCAAAUAAUGAAGAGCCAAUAGCACAAAGGGCUAAUGGAAGUCCAUUACAAUGAUGUACUAGUCUCCAAGAUUCCUCCACAAAAUUUUUUUAUUGUUGUAUUGUCUGUCGGAGCUGACUUGAUAUUUUCUCCUCUCCUAAUUCCAUCAUCGUCUCUAAAUGUGUGAAUCCCUGCUUGAACAAGGGCUGUGAAGAGCGAUCAGUAAAGUUCUUGUGGGUGUCCUUGCCCCUGAAACCCAAGAACACUUGAUAUUUGCAACGAGAAGACCGUGAAGACGAGGGUUCUUGAUAUUUGAAUCUAGCAAAGAAAACAAUUUCAAAGAUCUCACAAAUGAGAAAAAAAAAAAAGCUUGCAGGAUCAAUUGUCGAUUAUUCAAGAUUCUGUAACACACCAAUUAGCUAAAGUAUUAAUAAUUGUUAUCUUACUUCUUCGUUAAAGCAUUUUUUCAAGUUAUUUCCCAGAAAUCAACUCCUCAGGCCAUUUCAGAUAAAUAUUUGUACAUAUUUUAUCAGCACUUGCUACCAGCAUUUACAAGCACACAAGGAUGCCCAUCUGGAAGGCUAAAUUAUUUGCAAAAGCACACAUCUUGCAAUCCUAACAAUACCCGAGAAAGUGAAUUUAGUAGUUUAUAACUUACAGUAAAAACACACACAACUUAUUUGUAUAAAUUACCGAUCAUUCCAGUGUUUAUUAUCAAAUCAUAUUAUAGGUUGCGCUCAAUUAUAAUAGUAUUAUUAAAUAAACUAAAAGCAUGUUAGCUAAAAGAAAUAGGUUGAAAAGGAAUUUAUAUAUUACAAAAUUCAUGAUGAAAUAUCUUGGUCUAAGAUACUAAAAAAUUGAUGUACCCAAACUUUUACAUAUUAUAUCAUGAUGAAAUAUGUAAAUUUUACGAAGUGUAAAUCUUGUCUGGCUGGUAUAAAUUUAAUAGCUUCAAAAUCAUCCUGAAUGGAUGAGUAUGGUUGAGACUUGUUGAGACUUGUUGAGAAAGUUGAGACGUGGUGCAAAUCUUGUUCCAGAGCCACAAAGGCCAUCUGUCAAUCAACUGUACGAUGAGUUUACAGAACAUGUAUAAGAUUACUCACUUCUGGAUGAGGAAAGUUGCAUAGAAUAUAGAUUUGAUUGAUUACCAACGGUGGAAAAAAAAUCACUCAAAAUUUAUUUCUGCAUGAGUCAAUACUGAAAAGACAUACAUGUUGCCUAUUCAUGAGCUAACUGGCUUGAGCUUUUACCAAAUCUGUGGUGUCCUUGAUAAAAUGGGCUUUCUCGUUAUUCAGAAUGAUGGAUUUGAACUGGAUAAGAAAGUGGUAGUCAUUGCAGACACAAGUAGAAAACAAGACCUCGAUCCUGCUGCAAUCAGGUAUAUCAGUUAAAAGUUCUAUGUAUCAUGUUGAUCAUUGCCUGAGCCAAUUGGAUUGUUUUCUAACUUGUUUUAAAUGUGUUCUUAGUCUGUUUGAUUCAAUGAUUACUUUUUGCCUACCUGUUCGGAGGAAUCACCAGGAAAUAGCUACCCAGUACGCUAAGCACUUAACAAAAUGAGGGGAAAGAGUAAAGGAUUUACUAUCUUAUUUUUCAAGGAAUCCUAGGUGAUGUCGGAGUAAAGGAUCGUCAACAAGGGUGUUUUAAUUAGCUCUUGUAGAUUCUUAUCCAAAACUUGUAUCAUUUGUUAAUGUCAUCGCUAGAAACAUGUAAAGUGCAUGCCGAAGCUAAUAAAGAAAGUUUCAUAAGAUAGUAACAGAGAAGUAAUGCAGAUUGUUUCAUGACCGGCAUGAUUUGUUAAUCAGGUGGGUGAUUUUGGCUUCUCAUACCAUGAGCUCCAUUGUCCUCUCAGUACCUUAAUAAUAUUGAAUACAAAAAAAAAAAAAAAAAAUAUUCCAUUCAAAUAGCAAAAAUAGAAAAACCUAAAAAUAUUGAAUUGGAAAAUAAAAAUAUAAAAAAUAAAAUCAAUUUAUUCUCCUAAAAAAUUCAUGCAUCGGUCUUCCUUGAUUAGAAAGAAUUCAUACUCGAGUUUAGACCUUAGUAAAGAACCUUCCUUCAUGAAUAUCCUUUGUGUGUGGAUCACCGUAUUAUAGCCCUCUAAGACUUUUUAUAUGGAUCACUCUAUCAUGCAUCCCUAACACAAAACCUUGUGUGAGUUGCCCCAUUGUUAAUCCUACCAUCAGUAUUUCAAAUAACAAUAACUACUGCAGACAAAAACAAUGAGAAAAAAGUUCAAUCAACACAUUAUUGGUGAUACAGAAUAAUGCAAUAAAUAUUAAAUUUUUUUGCAUUUUGAGAACACAUAAAACAUCUUGUAAGUGCAAAAAGAUGUAGAAGUAGGAAGAGAUACUGAACUAGUGUGACUUACGGGAAGGUUGGUACCAUCGCUGAACAUAACAUCAUCUUGUUCAUUAUAUGAUGUAUGGAGAGAAAGAUUGUUAAAGUUUGCAGUUACAUGAUGGAAAGCGUGUUCCCACCACUAUCCAAUAACCAUGACGCAAUGGUUGAUGGAGAUGAAGAAGAAAAAAUUUCCUGGGGAUUCCAGGAGGAUGGCAUGCCAUUGGAGGAGUUAGCAGUGGUAGAACCAUAAACAUUGUCAUAACCCAGUUUUGACAUUUUUUAUUUAUUUAUUUAUUUAUUAUUUUAUUUUUAAAAAAAUGAUGAAAAACAAGUAAAAAUAAAAUAAAUGAAGAGUGAAUUAAAAUUUGGGUUAAGGGCAACACGAUUGGAAGUUUAAAGAUUUAAUUAAACUCUUGACUAGUUUAAUUAAUUAAAUCAAGGGCUUAAUUGGAGAAUUGAUUUAAUUAAAAUUUAGAUGAUUUUUAACUAAUGAAAUCAAGAGUUUAAUUGAAGAAUUAAUGAGUUUGAGGACUUAAUUAAACUUUGAUUUAAUUAAUUAAAUGAAUCAAGGGUGUAAUUGAAGAAAUACCAAAGUUUGGAGCUGAUUCAAGGAAAAAUUGCUAUAAAAUUAAAGUCCAAGGACCAAAUUGAAUAGUCCAAAAACCCAGGACUGUUGUGUAAAUGGCACUAUAAAUCAAGGAUUCAAUUGACUUAAUCCAAGGGUACAAUUAGAAAUUGAUUAUUAAUGAUUAAGAUCUCAAUUGUGAAGUUCAAAACAUCCAGGGACCAAAGUGAAAAAUGCCUCAAAACACACAAACGGCGCCGUUUGCAAUAAUACUGUUCGUCAUCCCUUCCAUUUCGCCAGGGCAGCCGAUUCAACAGGAAAAUCAGUGCAUCCGAUUCAACAGGCCAUGUCUUCUGCCACGAUCCCGGUCGUGAAGGAGACGGUUUUUGAAGAUCUCUAGCCUUAUAAAAAAGGGGUGAAGAAACAGAACGCAGAGGGGGGGGCGAGGAUCCGGAGCUAAAAAAAACAGAGCAGAAAUACAGAGUAAAAAAAAACACAAAUUCACAGGGAGAGGGGGGGAGUCAGCAACAGAGGAGAAAAAAAAAGGAAGAAAAACUGGAAAACUGGCGGAAAAAAGACCAGGAGACAAAGGACGAGAAAAAAAACUGGGAAAGGAAGAACUGCGAAAAAUCGAGGAGCAGAAACAGAGACCGAAACCAGAGGGAACAGUAGCCGAAAACCAGAGACAAAACGGAGAGGCAGAUAACAAAACAGGGAGAACGAACAAGAGGGCAACACACAGUGAGGAGAAUUAUCCUUGAAAUUGUCCUCGUACCUGCAAACAAAGAAAAAAACCCGGAUUCAGCCAAAGAACACUCACAGCAAACCGGCAUCUUCUUUGUAGUUUGAAAAGCUACUGAGAAAUCAAGAAGGAAAGCACAGACAAGGGAUCACAGCGGGGAGAGAAUAGAAAGCAGUCGAACGAGAGCAGCAGCCACCAGCAUCGCAGCCUUCUUCAUCGUCUCCAGAAGCAGGUAUGACUUCAUCCCCUUCGUAUCUUCAUUUCAAAAUGCAAUUGUUAAUGGUACAAGAACACUGUGUGAAGGUAAUUUAAUUACCUUCACCAGUGUUCGUGCACGCGUGAACAAUUCACGCGAGCUUUUAUUUUUUUGGCCCAGCCGGUCACUGGCUUGGGCCAGUGACUGGGCUGGGCUGGCUGGGUCCAGCCCAGCCCAUGUGGACUGAGCUGGGCCCAGCCCAAAAAUGUAAAUAAAAAAAUAUAUAAUAAAAAUUAUGUAUGUAAAAAAUAAUAAUAUGAAUUUAUUGUUUUUUUUUAUUCAUUGACGCUAGAGUCACAAUAAAAAUACCAAUUCAAAUUUAUUUCAUUGUGUUUUAUUAAGUUAUAUAAGAAUAAAAAAUGUGCGUGCAAAAAAAAAUAAUAUAAGAUAAAAUAAAAUAAAUUUAUUUGGUAUAUUCACUGACGCCAGAGUCAGGAAGAAAAAUAUUAAUGUAAAUUUAUUUAAUUUUUUUUUUGUUUUGUUUUUAUUUAGCUACAUUAAAAAAUAAAAAUAAUGCGUAUGCGUAAAAAAUAAAUUGAUUUUUGAUUUGUUUAUUCACUGACGCCAGAGUCAGGAAUAAAAAAAAUAAUGAUUUAAAUUUAUUUAUUUUGAUACCUACGUAAUAUUUACCAACGCCAGAGUUAGAAAUAUCCGUAGUUGAAUAAAAAUAAUGUGUAUGUGUAAAAAAAAUUGAUUUUUAUUUGUUUAUUCACUGACGCCAGAGUCAGGAAUAUUAAAAAUAAAUGAUGAUCUAAAUUUAUUUAUUUUGAUACCUGCGUAAUAUUUACCAACGCCAGAGUUGGAAAUAUCCGUAGUCGAAUAUUCACUAGCGCCAGAGUCAGAAAUAUUAUAAGCAAAUUAUCAUAUCGUAAACUAAUAAACAUUUAGCAAUUUAAGACGAAAUUAGCAAUGCAGCCUGCCUCAGGCAGGACGUUUAAGGGGUGAUAAUAUCUUCCAUUUUACGUAACCAGUCCCGAACCAUAGAAUCUCUGUUGACCAGUUAGGGUUCCUAGUGACCAUAAUACUAGGUGGCAACUCCUUAAACAAGAAUAUCCCCCAUCAAAGAAUAGGAUGCCAGAAAUCCAUUCUUUUCCAAAAGAUUUAAUUAUUUUUAAGGCCGCCGCGAUGUCGGGUGUGACAGAAUGGCAACUCCACUGAGGACCAAUGGACUAAGCUUUGCCUUUUAUUUGUCAAUUGCUAUAAUGUUUGUUACGUUGUGCUUAUUUGUUUAUUUUUUUCCUGCAUUUUACUGCUUUAGCAUGCAUCCUUGUUUAUAUUGUCAUGCAUCACGUUAAAAGCACACACCUUACAACCUAAGAUAAGUGGGGGAGUAACGGUACCCCAAUGGCUUUAGCCUGGGUAAGACUCGUGAAACCAUCCAACUUUCGCUUGAUUGUUUACUUGGAAGUGGUCGAUAUGCCAAACUGAGAUUACUCAGGGCCUCUAUCUUCACACUACUUGUAAGCCUCAUAUCAACCUUUUUAAGGACGAUCACUAAGCAUGCGAGAGACCCAUUUGAAACUAGAUAAUGAUCAACCCCUUUAUGCACUCAACAAUUAGGAUCUUCCUAUUAGGUUGUUAUCCCGUGAAGGGCGUGCCCACAUUUCAUACGCAUUUUUAAUUGAAUCAACAUUUUUGCAUAAGGCUCUUUGUUGUGCCUCCUGAUGUAAGUUGUGUUGUGUGUUGGGAAGGAUUUUUGGAUUUAAUCAUAAAAUUAUGAUUAAUUUUUAGGAGUCACCACCUAGUAUUAUAGUCACUAGAAAUCUAUGGUCUGCAAGAAUCUGGGUAAGGGAAUGGUUGUGCAAGGGGAAGACGCGUCACCCUCAGUGCACCCUACCUAAGGUAAGCUGCAUUGUUGUUUGAUUGUUUUUUGUUGGUCUUUCUAAGGCUCAAGGUAGAUCUCUCUUCAUGAGAGAAUCUCUACCUUAUUGGGUUAAAUCCUAACCGUUCUAAAGUCUGAAUUUUAGCAUCGCAUUUAUUUACACCUUGUAUCUUUAAUACCUGAGGGUGUACUUUAUCGUGUAAUUUUACACCACACAAAUAUUAAAGUCUACAUCUAGAACCUAAAAAACAUGAUUGAAAAAGGUUUUUGACAUUUUUGCCAAAUCCUAAUGGAUAAUCAUAAACUGGUUACGAUAUCCAUUUUUGGAUUUUAAAAAAAAAAAACAUGAAAAAGAUGCAAUUUUUGUUUUAGUUUUUUUUUGUAUAUGAAAAGUAUGAUUGGAAAAUUUUAGGAUUUGGCCGUAUGCAAUAAGAUAUUUUUAUUUGUGAAAAUGCUUUUGAAUUUUUUUUUUUUUGAAAUAUUUUGGAGAAAACCGGGUAUUUUAAUACCGGAUUUGUAUUUUACAAUGUAAAUAUACAACCCGAUAUUAUGCAAAAUAGAUAGAAAAAUAUUUGAGAAAAUAAAAAAAAAUUUAAAUUGAUUUUUGGAUUUUCUUUUUUAAAAAAAUGUCCACUGCAUGAACAGUGGACGUGAAUUAUAAUUCACGUCCACCGUUCACUUAAGAACAGUGGGACUUGCACGGGGAAGACGAAGAACUAGGGGAAGGGUGGCAGACCACCUGGUAUGGCGGUGUUGGCUGACUGGCGGGGGAGGAAGACCUCAAGCCGUCGGUGGAAACGACGAUGGAGUUAGCUGCCUGAAUCGCCUGGAGCGGCUGUAGCUGGAAGAGGAAGAAAUCUGCAAAGGGGAGAGAGACGCUCGCGGUGGCUGGCCGAUGGUCUUGGCAACACGUGGUGGUUUUGCUUGAUCAAGGCGGAGCUGGAGGAAGAGAUGUUGAUGGCGUCAGUUUCCUGUGGCGGAGUAAGAAAGAAGAAGAAGCAGAAAAAUAAAAAUAAAAUCUGCAGUGGGGGAGGAAGGCUGGUUUUUUGGCUUACUUUGGACCCGAUUUUCUCCUCUCUCAAACCAUCAAUGGAGCCUCUAUUUAUAGGCGGUGGAAGAGGGUAAUCUCGUCUACCCCGGGGUAAAAUUUCAGCCAUUGAUUUAGUUGGGAAUGAUCCCAACCGUUGGCUCAAAGUAGGCAUCCUGAGUUGUCAAUUCUGCAGAAAAAGCUGCCUGAGUGGUCAUGUUUGAUCAGAAAGGGCUUGAUUGGGUACAUAACAUAGGUUUUGGCUCUUGGCUAUGAAGAAAAAGGAUAUUUAUAGGCUCAAAAGGUGUUUAAGGGAUUUCAAGACUAAGGAUCACUAGUGCUUAUAUCCUAAAUUUUUUUUCUUGAAUUUCUGGAAUUGAUUUUCAAAAUGAUCCAUAGUGCCCCCCAAUAUUGGGCUUUUUCUUUUGGUUUUGAGCAUCAUUAUAUUAGUGAUUUUUGUGGCACGCUCAAAUCUUUUUGGAACUCUUAUAUGCCCCCAGCUUUGUUUGGACACUUUUGAUUAAUGAGGAUUUCGUUUCAUGCUCUAUAGUGUUGUUUGGGCGCUUUUAUCAUUUGAGGACUUUUUAUGCCCCCAGGGUUGUUUGGGCAUUUUUUGUCAUUAUUGAUUUUUUGCACUUGCUCCCUAGUGUAGGGUGUGAUCCUAGUUAAGGUUAUUUUCCAAGAAAUAUGCAUUAGGCUCAAAAAGGGACUGUAAUGGAUUUUUAGACGUUGUGAAAGGAUGAUCAAAGAUAGCCUUUCUUCAUUUCAAAUGCAUUCAUUCAAAAUCGGCAAGCUUUGCUUUCUCACAUGUGAAUAUGCAAAAAUGGUUUCUCAUUAUUCAUGCAGUCAAAACUCAGCUUUGAAGUUAUCUCAUGGUGUUUGGGUUGUUUUUCAGGUUUUUUAAGUGUUAGGAUAUCACUUGAAUUUUCAGAACUUGUUUAUUAGAUCAAACACCAAUUUGAUUUUUGUUCUUGUAUUAAAACUUUGAUUUCCCAAAAAUCCUUGUGAAAACAUGGGGUCAUGUUUUUUUUUUUUUGAAAGGGGAAAAGAAAACACCAAAGAAUUUGUGGCUUUGUGAGUGAAGGGUAUGCUCAGUAUGUUAUUUGCAUGGAAGCACAUCAUGAACAUAGAAAAACACAUGAUUUUAUUAACAGGAAAGGCUCAUUUAACAGAGAGUCUUGUAGCAUUAUGAGCCAGAUUGCCAACAAAACUAAAACAGGUUGAAACAGACAUGAUCAAACAAAAGAAAACUUUAUCCUCUAUCCUCGAGAGUGCACACUGCCUUCUUCACACCUUGCUCCUACCAUCAAUGAUUUGAUGUUUUCGGAACAUUCCACCUCUAGUGCAUUCACCGAUCCACUACCUGAAGCAUGAUUGGGUAGAGGGUUCAAACUCACGUUUGGAGUUCCUUCGAGGGUGAUCCAUCCAGCUUUAAUCAUAUGCAUAAGCCUCUUCUUAAAGGCACUGCAAGUAUGAAUGUUGUGUCCCGCGACUCCAGCAUGGUAUUCGCAAGUGAGGUCGGGCUUGUACCAAGGUUGUCAAUUCCGUUUUGUUCCAUCCGGAAUGGCCGAAACAUUCCAUACCAAUUUAAAAAACGGAACAAAACGGAACAAAUUUCAUCUCAUUUUAAAUCUCGGUCUAUUCCGGAUUUUUCGGCUAAAUUCUGCCCGAAACGUUCCGGUUUCAUUCCACAUGUUUCGUUCCGCUUUUGAAAAGCCAUUGAAUCAAAUUGAACCUUGCUCAAUUUCAUUAACUUAAACCACCUGAUUAUAAAAAAACUCUUUUUCAUUACUAUUUUCAAUAGCAAUGAUAUUAAUAAUAAUAUUGAAAAUUAUUAUUACUAUUUUCAUUAAUAAUGAUAUUAAUUUUUUAAAAUUAGAUUUAUCACUAAUAUAUAUGGUUUAUAUUCAUGUUUUUUUUUUUCAUGUUUAUACUUUGUAGGAAUUUGAUCAAAACAAGGGAUGCUUCAGAUUCCAUUAGCCACUUAAUAACAUUGACCUAAGUUUAUAUUUAAAAUAUAUUUUUUUAAACAUUUUACUUUCAUAAUAUUUUGAUAGUUUGUUUAAGUUGAAUUACUUUAAGUUAAAGAUCUAUUUAAUCUUGAGUAUUUAGAAAUAUUUUAAAUUUUAAAAUUAUAUUUGUUUGGCAUUGUGUUUGUAUUGCAUAAUUUAUAAUUAAUUUAUCUUGAAUUUGAAUUAUAUUUGUUGAAUAUAUAUAUAUGAACAGUACAACCCCGAAACGGCACGCCGAAACACUCUGAAACUUAAACAUUCCAUUCCAAUUGAAAAAAUGAAACACCUACCAAAACGGAAUUAACAACCUUGGCUUGUACCAAUUGGGUAAGGUGGUUGUAAAGGCGUCAAGGGUUCAGGAGCUAUACGCCCAAUGCUUAGUAGCUUUUGAUACAUCUCAUUUAAAGGCAAUGGUAAUGGAGGUAGUUGUUCUUGAGCUCUUUGGUGUUUGGUUUGAGGCUCGGGUUUUUUGGCAGGAAAAGAAGAGUUGAAAUUGAUGUUGUCUAUUUGGGGUGAAGUGUGAUAGUUUUGGAAUGGGUUCUUCCUACCCUCAACAUGGCCAACCUCUUUCUUUUUACCUUCGAAGCCCCUUUUUUCCAUAGGUGCGGAGAUUCUACCACUCUUUAUUCCUUGUUCUAUGCGUUCAGCUACUGCCACAACAUAAGUAAAUUGAUGGGUCGAACUACCCAUAACAUGCACGUAGUAUAGGUCAUUGAGCGUAUUGGCGAACAGAGUGACCAUCUCUUUAUCUAGGAGCGGAGGAUGUACUUGAGUAGCUAGGUCUCUCCACCUUUGAGCAUAUUCCCUUAUGCUUUCCUUGUCCCCUUUCCCUAGAUUGGACAGACUGGUUCUAUCAGGAGCAAUGUCCAUAUUGUACUUGUAUUGCUUGACAAAAGCAUCUACCAAGUCUUUCCAUUUUUGGAUCUUUGUGUUGUCCAAUCUCAUAUACCAGCUCAAUGCUGCCCCACUUAAGCUAUCCUGGAAAAAGUGCAUUAGUAGUUUUUCAUCAUGUACUACUUCUGCCAUUUUGUUGCAAUAGAAUUUGAGAUGAGUCAGGGGGCAUUGUGUUCCGGUAUAUUUGAUGAAUUCAGGAACACGAAACUUUUUUGGGACAAUCACAUUUAGGACCAAACACAUUUCUGCUGCCCGUACUGGAUCAUACAAGUCUACCCCUUCAAUGGCUCUAUUUCGGGCUUCCAGCGCUGCCAUCUUAUCAAUGUCAUCAGAUGACUUCGUCUUAUGGGACUCAUUGGAAAAUGGAUCUGUGACUACAGGGGCUGGUGCCGAUGGCAUUGAGUGCACAAAUGCUGGAUUGUGUGGAGGUUCUUGACCAUGUUCACUCAUUGUUUCUUCAAGUUGAGCUAUUGCUGGAGGCUGAACAAAAAUAGCUGGCCGAUUAGAAUGACCUUCACCAGAGGCAUUUCUAAGUGUUUGCUCGAGUAAGCUAGUGAGGUGAGCCACGCUUGCUUUCAGAGACUCUAACUCUUAUGGGCGUCACAGUGAGCACGCUCUUCAUCUUCCAUGUUUCUCGCUUAGAGUUGGGUGUUGUAGACUCUUUGGGGACCUAUAUUUUGACAUGUUGCAUGUAUGUAUGUUAUUUACAAUGAAUUGAUGUAUGUGUAUGGAUGAAAAUGUAUGUAUAUUCACAUUGGGUAUGAAUGGCAAAAACUCAUGCAAAAUGAUUAACAAGAGAGUUCAUACUCUAAAGGAAGGUUCUAGGUCAUUACAUGAUGGGUAGGCUUUCUACCUGGUCUUAAAAAGGUCUAUGAACUGCCUAAUGACCACCUUACGUGAAGGCAGUGCAGGGGUUUACAAGUAAUGGUUGGGGCACAAUGUGACCGCCAUUACCGAGUAAACACUCAGCUCAUAGUUGGAUGUUUCACGAAUCUGAACCCCGACUGAAAGUCAUGAGGCAGAUCGCUACUCCCCACCUAACCUAGAAUUGGGUUUAUUCGUAUGCUAAAGUAAUAAAAAUACGAGCUAAAAUUAAAGACCAACAAAAGGAAAAUAAUCAAACAAUCAAUGCUUAGUCUAACCAGAAAUGGCUUUCCCCAGCGGAGUCGCCAUCCUGUCGCGGGGGCCGCAACGUCGUUUGGCGACGGCGGAGGUUCUUUGUCGUGCCACCUGAUGUGAGUUGUGUUGUGUGUUGGGAAGGAUUUUUGGAUUUAAUCAUAAAAUUAUGAUUAAUUUUUAGGAGUCGCCACCUAGUAUUAUGGUCACCAGGAACCUAUGGUCUACGAGAAUCUGGGUAAGGGACUGGUUGUGCAAGGGGAAGAUGCGUCACCCCCAGUGCACCCUACCUAAGGUAAGCUGCAUUGUUGUUUGAUUGUUUUUUGUUGGUCUUUCUAAGGCUCAAGGUAGAUCUCUCUUCAUGAGAGAAUCUCUACCUUAUUGGGUUAAAUCCUAACCGUUCUAAAGUCUGAAUUUUAGCAUCGCAUUUAUUUACACCUUGUAUGUUUAAUACCUGAGGGUGUACUUUAUCGUGUAAUUUUACACCACACAAAUAUUAAAGUCUACAUCUAGAACCUAAAAAACAUGAUUGAAAAAGGUUUUUGACAUUUUUUCCAAAUCUUAAAGGAUAAUCAUAAACUGGUUACGAUAUCCAUUUUUGGAUUUAAAAAAAAAAAAAACAUGAAAAAGAUGCAAUUUUUGUUUUAGUUUUUUUUUAUAUGAAAAGUAUGAUUGGAAAAUUUUAGGAUUUGGCCGUAUGCAAUAAGAUAUUUUUAUUUGUGAAAAUGCUUUUGAAAUUUUUUUUUUUUUGAAAUAUUUUGGAGAAAACCGGGUAUUUUAAUACCGGAUUUGUAUUUUACAAUGUAAAUAUACAACCCGAUAUUAUGCAAAAUAGAUAGAAAAAUAUUUGAGAAAAUCACAAAUUUUUUAAAUUGAUUUUUGGAUUUUUUUUUUAUAAAAAAAUGUCCACUGCAUGAACAAUGGACGUGAAUUAUAAUUCAUGUCCACCGUUCACUUAAGAACAGUGGAACGUGAAUUAUAAUUCACAUUCCACUAUUCAAAACAGUGGGACUUGCAUGGAGAAGACGAAGAACCAGGGGAAGGGUGGCAGACCACCUGGUAUGGCGGUGAUGGCUGGCUGGCGGGGGAGGAAGACCUCAAGCCGGCGGUGGAAACGGCGGUGGAGUUAGCUACCUGAAUCGCCUGGAGCGGCUGCAGCUAGAAGAGGAAGAAAUCUGCAGAGGGGAGAGAGACGCUCGCGGUGGCUGGCCGGUGGUCUUGGCAACACGUGGUGGUUCUGUUUGAUCAAGGCGGAGCUGGAGGAAGAGAUGUUGAUGGCGUCGGUUUCCUGUGGCGGAGGAAGAAAGAAGAAGAAGCAGAAAAAUAAAAUCUGCAGUGGGGAAGGAAGGCUAGUUUUUUGGCUUACUUUGGACCCGAUUUUCUCCUCUCUCAGACCAUCAAUGGAGCUUCUAUUUAUAGGCGGUGGAAGAGGGUAAUCUCGUCUACCCUGGGGUAAAAUUUUAGCCAUUGAUUUAGUUGGGAAGGAUCCCAACCGUUGGCUCAAAGUAGGCAUCCUGAGUUGUCAAUUCUGCAAAAAAAGCUGCCUGAGUGGUCAUGUUUAGGCCGGCGCCGUCUAGCUGGCAUUCAUACUGAAUUGUUUACUUUAAUAUGUAGAGAAACUUCGGGGGAUCAUUUUCGUGCAAGAUUUGUCAACUUUGGUGGCUGGUAGGUACACUAAAUGCAACUGCAAAGUAGGCAACCAAACCAGCUUUUUUCAGAAAAAAGUGAAGAAGAUAAUGAACAGUUUUUGGCCAAUAUUCAUUUAAGUCCUCCAUCUGUCAAUUUCGUUCAAUGGAGCCCCCUAAUUGACCAUAAACUUUCAAUUGCUUCCAAUUUGGCCCCUAAUUCAACCAAUUUACUUGGUAAAAAUUAAAUUUGAUCUCUUAAAAUUUCAAUAUUCUCAAUUAAGCCUAAAUUAGGCUCCCAAACUUAAUUUUUUACCAAUUAAGCCUCAAAUAAAAUUAAUUUGACCCAUUUAAAGUAUAAUUAAGUCCUUGCACUUAGUUAAAUCCUUUAAUUGGACCCAAAUUAAUUCUUAAACAUAAUUAAAAAUUCAAAUUGGCCCAUGAUUAAAUGAAAUUGGCCUAUUAAAAAUUUAAUUAUGUCCUUGGACUUAAUUUUUAUGCAAAUUCGUCCAAUAAUCAUUUAAUUUGACCUUGAAUUUGCAUUGUUUUCUCCUUUUUUGGGCAUAAUGGGGUACAAAAAAUUGCAGCUUAAUUCUCCGACCUACUUUCUCCAUAUUACGAGCCUUUAUUUUAUUUUAUUUUUAUUUUGAAAAAGAAGUUAUUUUUGGGGAAUAACCCAUAAUUGGGUUAUGACAAAUUGCAUGAUUUACAUUUACAGGUUGAAAUAUAGGUUCCCCAUUAAAACCUACCUAUAACAAUCAUCUGAGAAAAGACAAAUGGAAAACGAAGAAAGAUCCCAGUUGGAAGCCCAACACCAAAAAGAGGUGGAUAAUCUUAAAGAAGAAGUUGUAAGGCUUACUAGUCUACUUGAACAGGCCUUGAGAGACAAAUCCAGAAAAGCAACACAUAUGUUUGUCUUAUGCUUGUAAAUCCCUUCACCUCACAGAAUCUAGGGGUAAGCGGUUUGUCAUUUGAUUUUCAACAAGCCAUGCAUUUCCAACCAGCGUACCCCACGAGAACGCUAUUAACCAUUGAUUCUACAGAGAAGGAAUCUCAAAAGGGCAAGAUGGUAAAAGAAGAUGAUCUGAACAAAUUCAUUGCCCUAGAGUAAAGGAUGAGGGCAUUUGAGGGAAUUCGCCUAUAUGAUCAUAUAAAGGCUACUGAGAUGUGUUUGGUGCCCCACGUUGUCAUUCCCAAAAAUUUUAGAGUGCCAGAAUUUGUUAAGUAUACGGGAACUCAGUGCCCUAUAACUCAUCUCAAAGCAUACUGCAACAAAAUGGCUGAGGUUGUUAAUGAUAAGAAACUGCUGAUUCAUUUCUUUCAAGACAGCUUGAGUGAUGCUGCCCUCACUUGGUAUAUGCGGUUGGACAAUACCAAGGUUAAAAAGUGGAAGGAUUUAAUUGAUGCCUUUAUAAGGCAUUAUAAGUUCAAUAUAGAUGUGGGCCUUGAUCGGUUAAGCUUGCAAGCUAUGGAGAAGGAUAAUAAAGAGUCCAUAAUGGAAUAUGCCCGAAGAUGGAGUGAGGUAGCUGCACAAGUUAACCCUCCUAUGUUGGAAAAAGAGAUGAUCAGUUUAUUUUCCAACACCUUUAAAGCUCUGUACUUUGAAUAUUUGGUCAGAAGCUCUGCACAACAUUUCACUAACCUGGUUGUUAUAGCUGAGAGGAUUGAACAAGCCAUUGGGUUAGGUAAGAUUGCUAACCCGAUGGAGAAGAACAGUUUCACUGAAGUUGAUUGCCAAGGCACUUAUCAUUUCUAUAGCUAAUUCCUUCACACCCGACUCCCAGAAAUCAAUUAUCUUGAAGAUAAAGCUAUGGUGAUAUUAGGUCGAGAAUGAUCUACAUAUAAUUUCAAUUGAUUGUUGAAAAGAUGCCCUUGUUGAGGAGAAUGAAUGAUUGAAAGAUUCCAGAAAUUCCAAUCAAUGAUAUCUAAAUGUUUAGCCCUUUUAUGUGUUAUCAUGUCAGUAUUCAUAGCUCAAGAUGUUGGCAUAAGUUCUUUGUUGUUAAACUUCUUUCCCAAAGUUUCAAUGAAAUAAUGAGUUUUUCAUUGAGUCAUGUUUACGCCCAAUCAUUAUUCAUUUUCUUGAGAGAGUUUUCUUAUAAAGACUCACAAACACAUCUUUGAAGCCUUGCACGAUCUCAUAGACGCAAUUCAUCUCUCUUACCAAAAUCAGUUUCCCUAUUGGAGUUUUGAAAAAUUGAUCUGGCAUUUUGAUUUCAAAAAUAAUUUGAUGUUUAUUCAAAAAUGAUAUUUUUGGCAUUCUACUUGUAGAAUGACAAGUGAAUCAAGCAACUCCAUCAUAGAGGUGACCAAACCCAAAAAAAAAAGAGAAUAAAUACCCUUACCCUAUGACUCUUGAAUCAUGUGUUUUUAAAUGUAUGAAUAAUGAUAUGUAGUGAACUUGUUGCUCAUGACUCAUGGAAUACAUCUUUGCAAAGACCAAACCAUCAUACUAGAUGAGGUCAAAGUUUAUUGAUCAUAGCUGCUUGUGCUUGAAAUGAGGAAAGGCCAUCUUUGUUAUUCCUUUCACGUUCUGACAUAAAUACAUCCCUUGCAAUCCUUUUUUUGAGCCUGAAUAAUUUUUUUUCAUAAAACAAAAUCCCGACUAAGGUCACACCCAACACUGGGGGCAAGUGAAAUUUCAAUGAUCAAGAAAGAUGAUAAAGCCGUGAGAAAGCCAAAAGGCAAAAAGAGCCCAAGAAACUCAAAUGCUAGGGGGCAUGCCUAAAUAAAAAAAAAUUAAUAACUAAGAUAAAGUGAGUAUGCUCUAGCAAAGCAAUGAAAAAGAAAAAAAUAAGUAGCAAAUUGACACGACUAAAAGCUUGAUGUCUUUUCCCAAGUGCAGGAGUGUCGAAGUAAUAAAUAGCCCGGCAAGACCGGGGUCGAACCAUAGAGAGGUUAAUUGUAUAAAUUAUAAAUAACAAGACAACAACAACAACAAUAAUAAUAAUACUCAAUACGUGGCGUUGUUAUACCUGAGAAUGAUCUAAAGAUCGGGUCACAGGUUUCCAGCCUAUAUACUGAGUUUAUGAAAAGAUCAAAUAUAUAUAUUAUAUAAUAUAAACAGAAUGUAAAUAAUAAUAAUAAUAAUAAUAAUAAUAAUGAAAGCAGAAGAUGAAGAAAUUAAUGAGAACUUUGAGAUGAAAGAUUAACGUAAGGAUUAAACAAUGAUAAAAACAAAUGUCAAGGUUAGAGGAUCCACUAAUGGUACUUCAAACAAGUAUAAUAUAAACUCUUAUUACUCAAUUGAAAACCACACAUAAAGGAGGUUCCAUUCAUAUUAUAAAUUGUUAACAUGAUUACGUUAGUUAUCUUAUUCGAAUAAAGCUAAUACUUGUAAAUGUUGGCAGGCAUUCAUGAUUAUAACUUAUGUUAACAACAAAUCAAGUUCCUUUCAUAGCUCAGGUGUCGGUUAUACCAUACAGUAUGAGCUAUGAAAGUGCCAAGUAUUUGUUGUACCAAGUGUUAUACAAUAUAAAUCUAGAUUAACCAUUUAAUCCAAUGUGCAACCCACAAUCAUAUGUUAAAGUGUGUGUGUGAAAAUGAAGGUUUAAUAAUACUUGUUAAAUGAGUAUAGGAGCAGAAUCAAGUGAUAACAAUGUGAGAGUUUGUAAACCUGAAUAUUUCAAGAAGUAUUAUGAUAGACCUUGGUAAUGAAACUUACUAAGAUGCGUCUCUAGAGUCAAUAAAAUUGAUUCCAUACUCUGCCAUCCUAAUAACAAUUUUGUCAAAUGGUUUUAAUAAUAGCAAAAACAAUUAGCAAGUUAGUAUUUUUUUUUUUAAACUACUACCCUCUCCCCCUAACCAAAACGAGACAUUGUCCUCAAUGUUCGAAGGUAGAAAGAUAGAGUAUAGAAGACAUCACCUGAAACAGCGAACAAUGACAAACCUGAAACACACUUAAAUAAACAUAAGAAGUAACAAAACAAAAUAAUAUGCUAUUAAUAAAACCAAAAGACACAAGGUUUCACAGAUGAAGGCUCAAAUCUAAUCUAAGCUUUUUACGGCUUUCCUUAGUUGACCAAUCUAGGCGACUCAUGCAGGGAUCAAUGACAGGGAUGAAAGAUUGUAGUUGGUCAAUCAAUUGUUCAGCAGUAGCAGCAGAGAUUAUGAUUUGUCGUGCCGAAGAUGUUAGAAAUUCCUGUUCCACAGCUUGAUCAAGGAAAGACAGCAACUUAUCAUAAAAACCAUUAACAUUUAACAAACCUAUAGGUUUAUGGUGAAUGUGCAGUUGGGCCCAAGAUGAAAUAUGAAAGAUCUCUUCCAAUGUGCCCAGACCACCUGGUAAGGCAAUGAAGGCAUCAGCAUGGUUAAACAUGGUAUUCAGUCGGUCAGACAUUGUUGGGACCUGUAGUUCUUCUCCAAUUGUUUUUCCAAUGAUGUCCCCAUUUGCUAAAGCUUUGGGGACAACCCCCAAAACUUGACUGCCUCCCAAAAAUGCAGCCAUUGACACACCUCCCAUUAACCCAAGGCUACCUCCCCCAUACACUAAAUGAAUCUUUCUCUCAGCUAGUACCCGACCAAGAUGAUUUGCUGAUUCUAAAAACUCUUUUUCUUUCCCAGAACUGGAUCCACCGAAAACACAAAUAUUUCUUAUAUGAUGACUUGAGGAACCUGCCAUUUCUACACACUUCUAUAUUUGAUGAAUAUAUGGGAUGAGUAGAAAUGAAGGGAAGGAAGAGAAGAAUUUAUAGAUGAAAAAGUGAAAAUGCAAUCAUACCACCUAUAUGUAGGCCAGCUGUAGUCUCACAAACUCUCUCUCUCUCUCUCUCUUUAUUAAUUAUUUAUUUUGAAAAAGCAUGUAUGUACAGGUAGUUGUGAUUGUGGCUCACAUCUUCCCUUGGUUUUACGUCCAAGAACGGCUUAAACGCCCUCUAUGGGUCGGGGAUAGGCUUCCCAUCCAGUUUUCUUAAAAACUGGCAAACAGGGUCUUUUUUAGUCAGAUUCCCAAGACUAAGUCGAUCAUGUUCUUUAUGGAAUUGUGGCCAUAAAUCAUGAAUUACACGAUGCACAUCUCCACUAGGAUGCGUCUCAAGGGUCAACAAAAGAUUAUCUAAAGACCCCUUACUCAGGCCAUCCUUAAUGAAUUGUAUCUUAUCUUCACGGUUUACAGAUACCAUUCCUAAAGAACGACAUGUUGCAUUACAAGUCCAUCUGGCACAUCUGUGACAGACUUUCAGUCGUUUUGCACGACGUUUCUUUGCAAAAGUGCUUUUACCUGUUCCAGGCAUGUGUGAAAUGAAAGAAUUGGAGGACUCACCUGAUAAUCGGACCUUUGCUUCAAUUAGCCAGCGAAUAUCUUCAGGAAUUCCAUGAUUCAUUAACAACCGUAAUCUUUCACACCUAGCACGAUAAAUUUUAUUAAUCGCAUUUGGAGGCAAAGCGGGAAAAUACCUUUUCAACUUUUCAAGAGUGGUGUCCAUUUUCAAAAGAGAAUUGGAGAAGAGAUUCAAAGAAGGGAGAAAGAGCUAAGAAUUGUACAAAUAUAUACAGAUAUCAGUUAUUUGGGAAACUGAAAGAACCGACUUAAGUCACGGAGUACCGUUAUCCGCCAUUUGACCGGGGUGAAAGAGAGACUAGCAAAACAAUAAAUACAACAAAACACAAAACAAUGUGAGAAAAACAAAAUAAUCAACCUUUAUCUACAAGAUCAUUCAAACCAAUGGAUUCAUUUUCACUAGGAAACUCAUCAAAGUAAGCUUUCAAACGAUGUCUAUUUACCUUCAAAACAUUGUCAUUCUUUGGAUUCUCAAUAUCAAGGGCCCCAUAAGGAUACACAUGUUUCAAAAUAAAUGGACUGCUCCAUUGUGAUCUUAUUUUUUCAGGAAAUAAAUGGAGUCGAGAAUUAUAAGGCAAAACGUUUUGACCAGUAUCAACUUUUUGACAAUUUUCACAAGUUUUGCAGAAUGCAUGUGUGUCCUUGAACAUGGUGGGCCAAUAGAAUCCAGAUUGUAAGAUUUUUGCAAUCGUCCUUUUUGACGAUAAAUGACUCCCACAUGCCUCAGAAUGACAAAGUUUAAUGACACCACUUACCUCAUUGUCGGGAAUGCAUUUUUGAAAUAAUUGAUCAGGACAAUUUUUGAAUAAGUAAGGGUCAUCCAAAUAAAAGAGUUCUUCACUUGUUCAAAAACUUUCCUUUGUCUUCGAUACUCCAGUGAGCUGGCAAAUCUCCUGUUGCAAGAAAAUUGAUAUUUUUAGCAGACCAAGGCAUUGAACAAUGAGAAAGUAAGGAUUCGUCAGGAGAGUAAGCAUCGAUUGGUGGGAUGUCAGAUGUCAAAUCUGUUGUCACUCUUGACAAAAGAUCGGCAUCAAUAUUUUUGGUGCCUUUUUCAUCCGUGAUUUCUUCCUGAGAAUAAAUCAUUUUCAAAUCUUCAGAUUUAUCCAACUCAAUUUUACUCAAAGUAGAUUCAAGUUGAUCAUGAACUAAUUCUUCAAUAAGAUCUACUUCUUGUAAAUCAUUAUCAUCUCCAGGUUGCUUGCAAAUGUUGAAAAUAUUCAUCUCCAAUGUCAUGUUUCCAAAUGAUAGCUUCAUCAGUCCAUUCCUACAAUUAAUCAAUGCAUUAGAAGUUGCAAGAAACGGACGUCCUAAAAUAAUAGGAAAUGAAUUACAUGCUUCAACAGGUUGCGUGUCCAAGACAAUAAAAUCCACAGGAUAAAUGAAUUUAUCGACUUGUACUAACACAUCUUCAAUUAUUCCUCUAGGCACUUUUACAGAUCUAUCGGCAAGUAAAAGAGUUACAGAGGUUGGUUUUAACUCACCUAGAUUGAGACUCUGAAAAACUGAAUAUGGAAGUAAAUUCACACUAGCUCCAAGAUCAAGUAAGGCUCUUUCAAUUUUAUGUUCUCCAAUAAAGCAAGAAAUUGUAGGACAACCAGGGUCUUUAUAUUUCAAAGCAUUAUUGUUCUGAAGAAUGGCACUUACUUGUUCGGCUAAAAAGGCUUUCUUUUUCACAUUCAGUUUUCUCUUCACAGUGCACAGAUCUUUCAAAAAUUUAGCAUAGGAAGGAACCUGUUUAAUAGCAUCCAACAAAGGUAUAUUGAUCCUUACCUGUUUGAAAAUUUCAAAGAUUUCAGAGUUGUGAUUGACUUUCCUUUGUUUGGUCAUGGCAUGAGGAAAUGGAAGUGCUGGCGGGGAAUCAGCCUUUUCUUUGCAAUGUUCAGGUUCAACCCCUUCCUUACCCUCAGAGAUAGACUCAUCAUCUUUCUCACAAGGUUCAAGAAUAGGUUUUUCAAUAACCUUACCACUACGAAGAGUGAUGACUGAUUUGACUUGAUCCAUGUGUUGGCUUCCAGAACUACUUGCAUUUGCAUUGUAUUGCCCCUUUGGAUUUUGCUGUGGUUGAGAAGGAAACUUACCUUUCUCUUGGAAACUGAGAGCAGAUGUUAAUUUUGCAAGAGCAUCUUUAAAAUCGGUCAUGCUUUGAGCAAGUUGAGUGUUGAUUGUCUCCUGCUUUUCAAUGAAUGCAUGCAAUGUUUCCUCAAAUUUCUUCUAGGAGGUGGAGCAUAAGGAGGUGCAUAUCCAUGAGAAUUUUGGAAAUUAUGGUGUGCUUGAAACGGUGGUGUGAAGUUUGUGCAUUGUUGCUAUCACUCUUCCAACUAAAAUUUGGGUGAUUUCUCCAACCAGGUUAUAUGUUUGUGAGUAUGGGUUAUGGUUGGGUCUUUGGAAACUGUUUAAAGCAUGGGCUUGUUCAUGGAGGCAUUCCUUGAAAGAAGGCAAAGUUGGACAAUCUUUGUUGUGCUCAUUUGUUUCACAGAUUUGACACACAAUGUCUUGAACAGAUUUUAAUUGACCACUCUUUUUAAUUCUAGUGCCUCGACUUUUCUAGCUAAAGAUGCAAACUUGGCUUGGAGGUCAUGAUCUUCCCUAAGGUUGUGCAUACCUCCACUAGAUGUAUGAGGUUGAGUUUUACUUGGUGCCUCAUAAGUACCUGUGGUGUCCCAAUUUUGAGCAUUUUCGGCUAGCAAGUCUAGGUACUCCAUUGCUUCAUUAGGGUCUUUAUCUUCAAAGGUUCCAUUGCACAUCAAUUCAACCAUUUGCCUAUCUCUAGGUGUUAAACCUUCAUAAAAAUGUGAAACCAAUCUCCAUGUUUCAAAACCAUGAUGUGGGCAAGUAUUAAGCAAAUCUCGAUACCUAUCCCAACAUUGGUAAAAUGUUUCUCCUGGCUUUUGAGUGAAAGUGAUGAUUUGUCUUUUGAAAGAGUUUGUUCUGUGAGAUGGAAAAAACUUCUUUAAAAAUUGUUGUUGCAUAUCAUCCCAAGCACGAAUGGAUCCUGGUCUCAAAUUUUGUAGCCAUGUUUUAGCUUUAUCUUUUAAUGAAAAAGGAAAAAGCUUUAAUCGAAUGGUGUUCAUGCUACAAUUUGAGUCAUUAUAGGUAUUACAGACCUCCUCAAAUUCCCUUAAAUGCAAGUAUGGAUUUUCUAAGUCUAAGCCAUGAAAAGAUGGUAAAAGUUGAAUAAUGCCUGGCUUAAAAUUAAAAUGAGAUGCAUCAGGAGGGAAAACUAUGCAUGAGGGUGCACUUGUUCUUGUGGGAUUCAUGUGGUCUCUAAGUGUUCUCAUACGGUUAUUCUCAUUAUUCUCAUUAUGAAGUGAUUGAUUAUCUUCUUCGGCCAUAUUUUCUGAAAAUGAUGAGGAUACCCUACAAAGUCUACCACUUAAUGUACGUGACCAAACUCUCAUGCACGUGUAAGAAGAGAAUAAAAGCAAGAAAAGAAAAUAGAAGAAAAAGAAACAAAACAAAACAAAGGAAACAAAAAUAGAUAAAAUGAAAAGUGAAAAGAGAAAAUAAAUUAAAUAUUAUAAUUUAUACAAGAAUUUACCUCCCCGGCAACGGCGCCAAAAACUUGACACGACCAAAAGCUUGAUGUCUUUUCCCAAGUGCAGGAGUGUCGAAGUAAUAAAUAACCCGGCAAGACCGGGGUCGAACCACAGAGAGGUUAAUUGUAUAAAUUAUAAAUAACAAGACAACAACAACAACAACAACAACAAACAACAAUAAAUAACAAUAUAAUAAUACUCAGUACGUGGCGUUGUUAUACCUGAGAAUGAUCUAAAGAUCGGGUCACAGGUUUCCAGCCUAUAUACUGACUUUAUGAAAAGAUCAAAUAUAUAUAUUAUAUAAUAUAAACAGAAUGUAAAUAAUAAUAAUAAUAUAUAAUAAUAAUAAUAACAGAAGAUGAAGAAAUUAAUGAGAACUUUGAGAUAAAAGAUUAACGUAAGGAUUAAACAAUGAUAAAAACAAAUGUCAAGGUUAGAGGAUCCACUAAUGGUACUUCAAACAAGUAUAAUAUAAACUCUUAUUACUCAAUUGGAAACCACACAUAAAGGAGGUUCCAAUCAGAUUAUAAAUUGUUAACAUGAUUACAUUAAUUAUCUUAUUCGAAUAAAGCUAAUACUUGUAAAUGUUGGCAGGCAUUCAUGAUUAUAACUUAUGUUAACAACAAAUCAAGUUCCUUUCAUAGCUCAGGUGUCGGUUAAACCAUACAGUAUGGGCUAUGAAAGUGCCAAGUAUUUGUUGUACCAAGUGUUAUACAACAUAAAUCUAGAUUAACCAUUUAACAAGCAAAGUAUUAAAGUGAACAAGAUAACAAAUAUAAAACAUGUUAGUAUCCAACGUUAAGGUCCAUGUUAAGUUUAUAUUAUACUUGUUCUUACACCAUUAGUGUACCCUUUUCACCUUGACAUAAUUAACUUAGCUAGACAUAAUAAAAGAAAGAAACAUAAAUGAGCAAGACAAGAACAUAAAUGAGAAAGAAGUUAACUAGACAAAGGAAAGGAAAUGAAGUGCAUAAACUUGAUAUUAAUGAAAGCAAGACAUAAGCAAUACAAAGAGAGAAAGCAAGAGCAUGAUCUUGAUCUGAACACCAAGAUGCCUCAAUACAUGGUAAGUGCCUCCUUUUAUAGGCCAAAAUUUGGAACUAUUGAUUUGUUGACUAAUUGAUGAGUGGGUGGCCACAUCUUGACUAGAUAACAAUCCUUAUCUUCUUGUCUGAUCAAGACGUCAUUGCUAACAUCAUAAUUUGCCCAGAAUCCUCAAGAAUGUUCUAGGAAAUUGUCUCAGCUUUCCAACAAAAAAAAGAUGAGGUCAUUUGGACUUCUAGAACUCAAGAUAUGGGCUGAACACUAAAUAGUGUUUGGGCUAUAGGACAGCUUCGGACUUCUUCGUUGUUCCUUUCAUUUGGACUUCAAAAAGACCUUUUCAAAUCUUGGGCUCCUCAUGAAAGUUGUAGGCCUUUGUCUUACCUUUCCAUCCAUAUAAAGUGGACCUAAAUCAGAAAUCUAGAGCUCCAGAUAUGAUCCAAUUACUGAGCAAUGUUCCGGUUUGGACUGCACCGACAUCUCUUUUCUAAGUUUGGUCAUCUCUUUGUCCUUUAACUUUCAAUGCUUAAACUCAUCAAUCAAUCCUUUUAUUUAUGUGAUAGUCCUGCAUUUAAAAUGAGUAUUUACCAUAAAUUAAGGUAUCUUAUAAUAUCAAACUUGUUAUUAUAAAACAUGCUUUAGUUAAGGAGUUAUUGAUACUUCAAGUGCAAAAUGAUGAUAUAAAACCUUGAUAAACAUGCACUUUUAAGUACUAAUCACAAAUCAAAAAAGAGUGGCAAAAGAAAAUAUGAAUGACAUCAAUAGUCAAACUUUUGAUAGUGAUCCUCGGUCUUUGAAGCCCUGAAACACUCUUUAAGCCUUAUGAAUCAUUUUCUUUCAUAGCCAAAAACCACAGCCUACGUUACGUGCCUGUAGAAGUCCUUUCUAAUCAAGCAAGCAAGCAAUCUAGAACAAUAAACAAUGCUCUCAAAAUGCAAAGAAUACGUUUUCAUAAGAUUCAUGACAUCAAGAAUAAACUACUCAUUAUUAUUCAUGCUAAUAAAAAUAAAUGUUCAAAAAGAGACAAGUUUUUCUCAUACAAAACCUCGAGCUUUUUCUCGAGCCCUCCACUCUGAAAACUUAUAAAAACAAAAGGUCAUAAUAUCAUGACAUAUUUUCACCAAAGACCUCAUUGCCAAACACAAGAGCAAAUAAUCUCUUUUCCAAGAAAGAAAAUAACCAAGGAGUUGCAAGAUUUCAAAAGCAAAUUGUUAUUGGACUCACAUCAAAAUAAUUUUUGUUUUCAAAAUGCAAGAUCAAGAUUUCAAGAUUCAUUCUAGACCCAUAUUCCUCCACCAAACUGAAAAGGAGAUAAAUGAGAGAAUGGCCUCUUAAAACCUUUAUUUGUCUAAGUCGCUGACAGAAGCACACUUAAGGCCAAUAACCAAUACAAGGGGGAAACAUUGUGUUUAGAAGGAAAAAUUCUAGAAAAGGAGAUGGCAAUUUCCUACAACCAGACAAGGGGGCAUUUUGGUUUACAAAAGACAGCUCGAUCCUUUCAGUAAGUGACAUCGAAUGUUUGUAGCAGUGAAACGAGGAGUAAUGAGUGGUCAUCUCAAAUUAUUUGACGAAUCAGAAAAUCUUUAGCAAGCAAGUGGGUCACAAUGGGCACCACAAAUGCUGAAUUAUACAAACAAAUUUGAAAAUAGAUUUUACAUGGGCUAACUCGAGUGGGCUAGAAAGCUAAACGACAAAGAUAACUUAAAUCAGAUAGCAAGAUCUCACCAACCAAUCAACAAGAAGAUUGUGAAGAAAUGGGGGUCUAUAUUUCAAAUCAGGUAAAGAUAUAUGCAUAUCAUCUAAACUUUGAGAUAUUGGACAAUGAGUUUUUCAAAUUUCAUAUAAGAAAAUUCCAACGGAAUCUAUCAAGUGGAAGGCCAACUUGAAAUGGCCAAAGAUCGAAAUUGCUGUUGAAAAUUUUCACUUUUGAGAAUUUUUCAACCUGGGCAGGCCGCCCAUGAGAAUUAGGCCACCUGAAAAAUCUCUCUAUUAUUCCACCACCUUUCAGUUUCCACUCCUAAGGUAGUUCAUUUCCUAUCCUACCUCCUUUUGAGUUCUUUUCGAGCGCGCCUUCGAGCCCUCGACCAUCAUAGGUAGUGCAUUUCCUAUCCUACCUCCAUUUGAGCGCGCCUUCGAGCCCUCGACCAUCAUAGGUAGUGCAUUUCCUAUCCUAUCUCCAUUCGAGCGCACCUUUGAGCCCUCGUCUUAUCUCCAUUCGAGCGCGCCUUUGAGCCCUCGACCAUCAAAGGUAGUGCAUUUCCUAUCCUACCUCUGUUCGAGCGCGUCUUCAAGCCCUCGUCUUAUCUCCAUUCGAGCGUGCCUUUGAGCCCUCAUCUUAUUUCUUUUCGAGCGCGCCUUCGAGCCCUCAUCUUAUUUCUUUUCGAGCGCGCCUUCGAGCCCUCAACCAUCAAAGGUAGUGCAUUUCCUAUCAUACCUUCUUUUGAGUGCGCCUUCAAGCCCUCAUUUCCUUCAAGCUUCCAUCUAUUGAAUAAUGCGCCUUCGAGCCCUAUCAUGUCUUAUUUAAAAAAAAAAGUCCUCGUAUUUUUCCACUGGGCAGGUAACCCAUUACAAUGUGACCAACUGGGCCGGUAACCCAUUACAAUGUGACCAUCUGGGCUGGUAACCCAUUACAAUGUACCAUCCUGAAAAAUCCUCGUAUUUUUCCACUAGGCAGGUAACCCAUUACAAUGUGACCAACUAGGCCGGUAACUCAUUACAAUAAAUCAUCCUAUAUUAGGCUGGUAACCCAUUACAAUAUACCACCUUAUACUGGGCAGGUAACCCAUUACAAUAUACCAUCACAAAAAAAAAAAUUCCUCGUAUUUUUAUUCUUCAUCGAGCAGGUCACCUGGAACAAUUAGACCACUCAUGAAAUUCUUCACGUUUCUUUUAUCAUUGGGCAGGUUGCCCAAAACAAUUUGAUCCAUUUCAAAAAAAAAAAAACAAAAAAAAUAGUUCGUCUCCCAAAUGACUUGUUUCUUGAUUUCUACAUCUCUCUGUAAAGGUCAUGUGUCAAUCUACUGUUUUCAAAACUAAAAAAUAAAAAAAAGAAGCAAAAGUUCUUUCUUUAUCUAAUUUUCUUUAUAAAUUUACUACACAAAGCUAAAAGAAAAUGAAAUUUUCUAAUAUCGUUGCAUAGUAAAUAUUAUAAAGAGGGGGCAACUGUCAUAACCCAAUUUUGACCUUUUUUAUUUAUUUUUUAUUUUUUAUUUUUUUAUUAUUUUAUUUUUAAAAAAUGAUGAAAAACAAGUAAAAAUAAAAUAAAUGAAGAGUGAAUUAAAAUUUGGGUUAAGGACAACACGAUUGGAAGUUUAAAAAUUUAAUUAAACUCUUGACUAGUUUAAUUAAUUAAAUCAAGGGCUUAAUUGGAGAAUUGAUUUAAUUAAAAUUUAGAUGAUUUUUAACUAAUGAAAUCAAGAGUUUAAUUGAAGAAUUAAUGAGUUUGAGGACUUAAUUAAACUUUGAUUUAAUUAAUUAAAGGAAUCAGGGGUGUAAUUGAAGAAAUACCAAAGUUUGGAGCUGAUUCAAGGAAAAAUUGCUAUAAAAUUAAAGUCCAAGGACCAAAUUGAAUAGUCCAAAAACCCAGGACUGUUGUGUAAAUGACACUAUAAAUCAAGGAUUCAAUUGAAUUAAUCCAAGGGUACAAAUAGAAAUUGAUUAUUGAUGAUUAAGAUCUCAAUUGUGAAGUUUAAAACGUCCAGGGACCAAAGUGAAAAAAUACCUCAAGCACACAAACGACGCCGUUUGCAAUAAUACUGUUCGUCAUCCCUUCCAUUUCGCCAGGGCAGCCGAUUCAACAGGAAAAUCAGUGCAUCCGAUUCAACAGGCCAUGUCUUCUGCCACGAUCCCGGUCGUGAAGGAGACGGUUUUUGAAGAUCUCUAGCCUUAUAAAAAAGGGGUGAAGAAACAGAACGCAGAGGGGGGGACGAGGAUCUGGAGCUAAAAAAAACAGAGCAGAAAUACAGAGUAAAAAAAAAAACACAAAUUCACAGGGAGAGGAGGAGAGUCAGCAACAGAGGAGAAAAAAAAAGGAAGAAAAACUGGAAAACUGGUGGAAAAAAGACCAGGAGACAGAGGACGAGAAAAAAAACUGGGAAAGGAAGAACUGCGAAAAAUCAAGGAGCAGAAACAGAGACCGAAACCAGAGGGAACAAUAGCCGAAAACCAGAGACAAAACGGAGAGGCAGAUAACAAAACAGGGAGAACGAACAAGAGGGAAACACACAGUGAGGAGAAUUAUCCUUGAAAUUGUCCUCGUACCUGCAAACAAAGAAAAAAACCGGCAUCUUCUUUGUAGUUUGAAAAGCUACUGAGAAAUCAAGAAGGAAAGCACAGACAAGGGAUCACAGCGGGGAGAGAAUAGAAAGCAGUCGAACGAGAGCAGCAGCCACCAGCAUCGCAGCCUUCUUCAUCGUCUCCAGAAGCAGGUAUGACUUCAUCCCCUUCGUAUCUUCAUUUCAAAAUGCAAUUGUUAAUGUUACAAGAACACUGUGUGAAGGUAAUUUAAUUAAUUACCUUCACACAUUGUUCGUGCAUGCGUGAACAAUUCACGCGUGUUUUUAUUUUUUUGGCCCAGUCGGUCACUGGCUUGGGCUAGUGACUGGGCUGGGCUGGCUGGGUCUAGCCCAGCCCAAAAUAUAAAUAAAAUAAUAUAUAAUAAAAAUUGUGUAUGUAAAAAAAAAAUAUAUGAAUUUAUUGUUUUUUUUUAUUCAUUGAUGUCAGAGUCACAAUAAAAAUACCAAUUCAAAUUUAUUUCAUUGUGUUUUAUUAAGUUAUAUAAGAAUAAAAAAUGUGCGUGCAAAAAAAAUAAUAUAAGAUAAAAUAAAAUAAAUUUAUUUGGUAUAUUCACUGACGCCAGAGUUAGGAAUAAAAAAUACUAAUGUAAAUUUAUUUUAUUUUAUUUUUUGUUUUGUUUUUAUUUAGCUACAUUAAAAAAUAAAAAUAAUACGUAUGCGUACAAAAUAAAUUGAUUUUUUAUUUGUUUAUUCACUGACGCCAGAGUCAGGAAUAUAAAAAAUAAUGAUUUAAAUUUAUUUAUUUUGAUACCUAUGUAAUAUUUACCAACACUAGAGUCGGAAAUAUCCGUAGUUGAAUAAAAAUAAUGCGUAUGUGUAAAAAAAUUUAAUUUUUAUUUGUUUAUUCACUAACGCCAGAGUCAGGAAUAUAAAAAAUAAAUGAUGAUUUAAAUUUAUUUAUUUUGAUACCUACGUAAUAUUUACCAACGCUAGAGUUGGAAAUAUCCGUAAUCGAAUAUUCACUGGCGCUAGAGUCAGGAAUAUUAUAAGCAAAUUAUCAUAUCGUAAACUAAUAAACAUUUAACAAUUUAAGACGAAACUAGCAAUGCAGCCUGCCUCAGGCAGAACGUUUAAGGGGUGAUAAUAUCUUCCCUUUUACGUAACCAAUCCCGAACCAUAGAAUCUCUGUUAACCAGUUAAGGUUCCUAGUGACCAUAAUACUAGGUGGCGACUCCUUAAACAAGAAUAUCCCCCAUCAAAGAAUAGGAUGCCAGAAAUCCAUUCUUUUCCAAAAAAUUUAAUUAUUUUUAAGGCCGUCGCAAUGUCGGAUGCGACAAACAGGAACUAAAUGAAAGGAGGGACAACGUUUAGGAGUAUGCCCUUGAGUGCCACAUAUCUGGCAAUGGCCCAAAUAAGGACGUGUAGGCAAACAACUAUUUCUGACCUGAUUGGGAAACGUGGCAGGUCGAAAGUUGGCGAUGGAUGGGGAAUGAAAAUUGUUCCCAAUAGGAGAAGAGGAUGGGCGCCAGUUGGUUUUUAAGGGUCGUCAAUUAUUGUUGCUUGAGUUCUUAGUGAAGGAGUUGGCAGUAAUAGUACCAAGACGGGAGAAGUGUGACCGUGUUUAAAGUGAUGCUUCAAACAAGAGAAGCUUCUCAUGUAGUUCAUCAAAGGAGAUAGCAGCUUUGCGAGCUUGGACAGCCCGAACAAGUUCUAUGUAAUCUUCAUCUAAACCGUUGAGAAUUUGUUCAGUAAGAUCAUCAGUGUCCAUGGAAGCACCAAGAACAACAAGUUCGUCAGAUAGUGCUUUGAUGAAGCAGACAAAAUCUGUGAUACUCAUAGAACCUUUUGUGAGAUUAUUUAACUGGUUUUCACCUGGCGGAUACGUCCAUGGGAUGGUUUUGCAUAUGUUGUGGCAAGAACAUGCCAUGCAUCAUGAGAAGAAGUGGUGCGGGCUACCAAGGAGAUAAGUGAAGGAGAAAGGCUGCCAACGAUGGCAUUCAAAAGGAGUUGAUCUUGCCUAACCCAGAGACUAUAUGCAGGCUUAGGAACAGUGAUAUCAUCUGUUAUAAGAGUUGGUGAAGGACACAAUUUUGAGCCAUCUAUGUAACCAAGGAGAUCAUAGCCAAUAAAAAGUGUUUCAAACUGAAUUUUCCAGGAAGCAUAGUUGGAAGAGGUGAGUUUGAGAGGAGCUUGAGCAGCUGUGUUUAUGGUGAUAAGGUGGUUUUCUGUGUUUGAUGGAAUUGAAACCGACAUGGUUAUGGGGAAGAGGGAGGAACAGAACCGAAGAAGAAAGGGAAGAAAAAAAAAAUUGAAUAAAUGAUCAGAGACGCUCUGAUACCAUGAUGGAGCUGAAGCUUUGAAAGAGAAUUGCUUACUGAUAUUAUUAAUAGAAGACAUAUAUAUAAAUACAAAUCCUAACUGAUUUCUAUACUUUGCAGGGAGACCAAUUCUUUAAGAUUACAAACUAUUGCAGCUACCGAGUCCUAAUGAAUAACAAACUGUUAGAGCUAUACAUUGAAUUAUCAUUAACACAGUUCUUAAAAAAGAAGCAAAGAUGGGGUUUGUGAGGGUCUACACAAAACCACAGCACUGUGGCGUUGGUCAUGCUCUACAAGAUGAGGUUGCGGUCUAUUUCUCCUCAGACAUACUCAGCAAUUUCUUGAAGAUUUAAACCUGGAAUACUUUUAGCACUUGAUCUUGCAUCAGGAGAAUGGGUUGGGUAAAUCAACAGAGCAUGCCAUGAUAUAGCUCCAACAGCCAACCAUUAAAAAGUCCAAGUGGUUAGAACUUUGUGGCUUUCGCGUCUCCUAGAACAACUGUUGCUGUCAAAAACCAGGGAAAUGAAAACACAUUCCAAGAUCCUCAUAAUGUUUGAGGUCAUGGGUGACAGUGCAGUGCUGGUAUAUGAAAACUGAUUCAAUUGCAUCCAUCAUUAAUCGAAAUCAUGAACAGAUUGCGUAUUUUGAUUCAGGAUAACGAGACUUUCAAACCAAGAUCUCAAAGUAAUUGUUUUUUUUUUUAUGAAAAGAAAGAGUCUCAUAGGUAGGCAGUCAAAGUUGUUGGCUACUAUAGAAAAUUUUACGAUUUCCACUUUUGUUAUUGAAUUUUAAUUCUAUCUUUUAAUUUGAUAAUUUUCAAUCAAAACUAAUUUUUAAAUUUCUAAUUUUGAUGAUUAUUAUAUUUUAUUUUUACAAUAAAAAUAUUUAUAUUAAUUUAUUGUGAAAAUUUAAUAAAAUCAAUUCAAUUUUUAAUUAAAAUGAAAUAUAUUCACAUUAUAAAACCCUCUCAAUUAUAUUUUAAAGACAUGCCUAUUUAUUUUUUAUUACAAGUGAACUUAUCCUGUGAGGAUAUAUAUAGAAACAAAAAAAAAAUUACCAAUCAAAUUUCACCAUGUGUUAUUUUUAUUUUUACAUAAAAAGAUGAAAUAAAAUAGAUAAAAUAACAUGAAAAAAAUGGACCUUUACAUAUAUUUUGGUCAAUAGAAAAUUGACACAUAAAAUAAGAUAUUUAAUACAUCUUAUUAUAAAUAUAAGAUUUUAUAAAUAAAAAUUAAUUAAUAAAAUAAUAUCAUAUUACAUUUUUUAAUAUGAAAGCCCUUGUAAAUAUUUAUAAAUAAAAGAUCUCAUGCUAGACAAAGAAAGGAGGAAGAUUACUAGAGAUACAAAACUAUUUCAUGAUAAGCUUUUCAAGAAAAAAGAAAAAAGAAAAAAAGAGAACUAUUUCAAAAGCUUUGGAGCUUUUUUUCAUUUUACGGUUGAAAUCUAAAAAAGCAAACCUCUACUUAAUGAAGCCUAAAAUAAUACAAGUUCUAGACCUUUGCAAAACACCACCAAGCGAAAUUGCCAGUACUGCAUUUACCAUGGAAAGCACAAUAAUAAUCAUCCUUUGAUUGGAUAUCAUCAUCAUUUCCUUCCUCUUCAUGCAACCAUUGGACACCAAUCGUCCUUAUUUGAAAAGCUGGAUCUUGUAGACGCACUGAAAUACUCACGUCAUCACCAUUAUCAAAUGCAGGACCAUCGACCCCUAAUUUCAUGUGCAUUAGCGAUUGGAAUUCACGAACACCACGCUUGUAACUCAUAGGGAAGAAAGAGGCUUGACGACGCAAGGAUCGACCACUGGUAUUGUUUCUGAUUUCAAGAUAAACAUGACUAGAGUCACUGUACCCUGACGUCAUACAAAACCUUGAGAACAGAAUAAAGCCACAUAUCCGGUGCGCAGGAGGUGAGGAUAUUUUGAAUGAAAAGUUAUCUACAAACUCAUUCUGAAUUAGCCAUUUAUCCUCUUCUUCCUCCUCGUAAAACCUUGUGAACAGAUUUGCAAGUCUUUGCAGUGAAGAGCAAAAAGACACAUCUAACGAACACAAAUGGGAUGGAAGCUCUGGGAGUGUCUGAAGCAUUUUGCAAUUUCUUAAAUAUAGGUGUCUGAGUAGACCAAGAUCCUUGAUGCUUUCUGGAAGAAAACGAAUUGGAGUUCCACUUAAAUCUAGACUCUCCAAGAAGCGUGGCAUUGAAAACGAGGUAAAUCUCAACAUUUUCCUCGUUGAAAACCUAGAGGGAAAGAAUAGCUUCAAUGGAAGAGAUGAAAUGAAUGAUGUAAUUGCAACAAUUCCAUCACUUUGAAGCAACUUGCGCCCCUGAUGAUGCUCUAACUCCAUAUUUAGGCUAUUAAGAUUUGAGCAACCAUCUAAAACCAGCUCUUGAAGUGAAUUCAAUCUACUCAUUUCUUCUGGAAGCUCCAUAAGACUUGUACAAUUUCUUAGAUUUAAGAUCAACAAUCUUUGUAAAUCACCAAUAGAUUCGUGAAUUUGAACCAAACGGAUGCAGUCUUCAAGUAUUAGCUUUUCAAGGGCUGGGAGACUCGAGAAGUCUGGGGUUCUAAUGAGAUCACGAGCAUGACGGAGAUCAAGAAUUUUCAAUUUUGGAAGAAACUGUUAAAAUACAUGAAUUUAGUUGUUAUCAAUUGAAAACGAGAGAGAUAGCUAUAGAGAGACUUGAUACAUACCGUUUGCCUUUCCAAGCAUCAACUAGACAGCUUCUGGAUAGAUCAAGAACCACCAGCUUCUCCAAGCAUAUGUGAUUUGGUAUGGAGCUCCAAGACAAUCCAUGCCAACAUAACCAUAUCAAAUUCUUGGGAAAGUGCUCAAAACUUCCAUGAAAAUUAGUGUAGUUUAGCUGGAGAAAUUUUACAUCUGGCAUCUUUCUAAAAGCAUCCGUGCUAAGGAUGGGAAACAAACUUGUUUGGCUAGUUUGUAAUUUUUCCCCAUCGGGAAAAUCGGAAAGCCAUUGUUGAAAGAAGUUAAGCCUGCGGCGCUUGCGACAAACCAUUGAAUCAGUACAGACAACUUCUGCAUAAUGAUAUUCCAUUAAUGAAUGCAUAUCAAUGGUAAGGCCACGCAUUUUUUCAGCAUCCUGCAUAAUAAUAUUAAAAGUACAUGAGAAAGGAAAGUAGAUGAAUGAAUAUGUCAAGGCACCACAAACCAUUUAAGUAGACAUUUAAAAAAAUUUAGCUACUUACAGUAGUUCCUUUCAAAACUGUAAAAGCAUCCCCAUGAUGCCAUAUUCUUUGCCAUUUGGGUGAUUCUUGACGAGCAAUUUCCCUACCCAUAUCUCUUACUAGUUGAUGCAUCCACAACCUUUGAUCACUGUUGAUUUCAACAAGACAUCUAUCGAUGAGAUUGUCAAUCCCAAAUCUUGCACCUUUAUCGAGCCCAUCCAGUAUCCUAACUGCAUCAUCCACAUCCAUUCCAUUGAAGAAACAUGCGAUAUCAAGGAAUAAGUUCUUGGAUAAUCACCAUCAAGAAAGUCGUAACUUAUUCGAAGAACCUUUUGAACUUCAAAUUAGGAACACUUCCAUUUGUUGUAAUGCGCUUUCCCAUAUUUCUCUUCCUUUUCCGGACAAUGAAGAGCCAAUAACUCCAAGAGCUAAUGGAAGUCCAUUACAAUGAUGUACUAUUCUCCAAGAGUCUUCUACAAAACCAUCAACAGGGUCAGCUUGUCCAAAGGCAUUCCAACUGAAAAGCUCAAGUGAUUUUUUGUUAUCCAAAGGUUCGACUUUGCACUCGAACCACUCAAUAUCAUUAGCUGAAAACAGACCCUUAUUUCUGGUUGUUACAAUGAUUUUACUUCCUUUACGAAGCCAAUUUUGCAUGCCAAUGAUUUUAUUGAAUUGGUCCCUUUUGUCCACAUCAUCUAGAACAAUAAGAGUUCUUCUGCAACAUAAUGCAUCCUUAAUCUUCAGAAUUCCUUCAUCUUCAUCAUUUAUCUCAUCAACAGUCUUUUUUAGGAUGUCGGAAAGAAGUUGCCUCUGUAGGCAAACUAUAUGUUUUGAUCUAAAAUUUGACAGGAAGCUCUUUCCUUCAAAUUCAUAAAAGUUCUGGUUAAAAACACUCUUAACUAUAGCUGUCUUUCCAACUCCACCAAUUCCAUAGAGUAAAGCAAUGGCAGCACCAUGGGAUCCAUCUUGCAACCAUGAGUUGAUAUCUUGUACCAGAGCAUCUCUUCCAAUGAAAUGAAGGGGGACAUGAAAUAUUUUUGGAUCCAAAUUCUUUGAGACAUACUCCACAAUAGAUUGGACAAACUGUGCCUCGUACCUACAUCAAAACGUAAAGUACAAUAUACGAUAAUUGCUAGUCUCUCUAUAAUGGAUAAAAAUAGACAACAUUUAGCUAAGAAAUUAAAGCAGGUUGCAUGUCAAUGAUUGAUAGUUAAAUUUGUAGGUGCGUUAUCACCACCUACUAAAACCAAAUCAUGUUUGAAAAAAAACAAACAAACAAACAAAAGAAGAAAGAAAUUAUAGGUAUUUUUUUCUUUCUUUUAUGUUUUCUUAUCGGUCUUCAUUUAAAUACUUAACUGAAAGAAAUUAAGAGUUCACGACCAGCACUCUAGUCUUAUGCUUUGUGUAUUUUAAUCGAGAGAUGCAACUUACCCAUCUCUUAAAUCCUUUCCAGCUAAAUCUGCAACUUCCUUCAAAGCAAUCCUCCACCCCUUCACCCGCUCUAUCUCCUCGAAGCGCUUUUCUUGUUCCACAAAUGCAGCAGCGAAGCUCCCUGUUUGAUUUCUGACUUCAGAUGGAUUCACAUGGUAGAAUACCGGCAAAACUAUGGAGGCGGCAGUCCUCUUAUGUUCCAUGAUCUUCACAAGUUCAUCGAGGCACCAUCUCGACCGAGCAUAGUCUUUGGAGAACACGAUUAUCGAUAUUUUCGAUUCUUGUAUUGCCUUCCGGAGCUCCAACUCUAUAUUCUCUCCUCUCCGAAUCUCAUCAUCAUCUCUAAAUGUGUGAAACCCCGCUUGAACCAGGGCCCAGUAGAGGUGAUCGGUAAAGUUCUUGCGGGUGUCUUCACCUCUAAAACUCAAGAACACUUGAUAUUUACAAUUAGAAAACCGAGAAGAGUAGGAUUCUUGAUAUUUCCCAGCAGCCAUUUCGAGUCUAGCAAAAUAAGACUUUACAAAGAUCUGGACAGAAAAAAAAAGGAAUUGCAGGAUUAAAGUCGAUAAUUCAAGAUCGACAGCACGCCAAUAAGCUGAAGUGUUCAUAUAUUAUUAUCUUACUUUUUUCUGGAAGACAAUUUUCAAGUUAUUUCCCAGCAAUCAACUCCUCCAUGCCCUUUCAGAAAAAUACUUGCAGAUAUGAUAAAUCUCUAUGCUGAACCAACAAAAUCGGUUGAUGAGAUCAUCAAUAAUUAGUUUCUAAUAGUGAAUUAAUCGAAGUGAUUCUCAGUUACAGCAGAGUUACAUUUCACAAUAUAACAUAAUACUUAAAAGAGAUAAGAGAGAGGGAGAGAGUACCUGCAAUCUUCACUUUCCCUUCGCUGAUGUUCUGUUAUCAGUCCAUCAACUUUCUGC
rnacentral:lncRNA from 1 species